rnacentral:lncRNA from 1 species
AUCGGAGCAUGGCCGGACGGAGGCCAAAGCCUGAAGGGCCUCUCAUCUCUCCUCUUUCAGAGGAUUUUAAAGUUUUUUUUAAAACGGUCUCUAAAAUGAUUUUUUGAAAAAAAAUUGAUUUAUAUAAAGCAAUAGAUACGGUGUCGUUUUGCUUAAGUCCAAUAAACACUGAAACGGCACCGUUGAGGCCAAGAUCCGCGCAUUGACCCGUGACCCGAGGAGGAUCCGCGUGUUUUUGUAAAAUGGGCUAAUUUCCCAAUCAGUCCUUCUGCAUUUUUAAUUUUUAUAAUUUUAUUUUGUUUUCAAUUUAAUUCAGCCCUAAUUUUUUAUAAUUGUUUCGAUUUAGUCCCGAUGGCUAUUAAACUCAUUCUUAGGAACGACGUCGUUUUGGGAUAAGGGUUAAUUGCCCGAUGAGUCCCUCGAUUCUAAUGCGUUUUUUCAAAUAGGCCUAAAUUUUUUUUAUAUUUUUUUAAAUUAGCCCAAAAUUUUAACUGCUUUUAAUUUUAGUCCCAUUAUACUUAUAAACUUAUUUAUUUUAAGCUUUAUUAUUUAUUUGAUGUAUAUUAUUAUUUUAUAUUUUAUAUUAUUAUUAAACAUACUGGAAAUCCAUUUAUUUUAUUAAAUUAUAUAUUAUGGCAUACAUAUUAUUUAUAUUUUAUUAAUAAAUUUUUUUUAUAUAUGUAUUAUAAAUAUAAUAAAAUUAUUUUAUUAUGUAUUAUUAUAUUAUUUUAUAUGGUAUAUAUAUUAUUUAUAUUUUAUUAAUUAAGUAUUUUUUAAAAAAAUGAUAAUUAUAUAUAAAUAAUCAAAUUUUUUUAUGUUAUUAUAUUAUUAUAUGUUUCCUAUAAAUUUUAUAUACAUUAUAUUAUUCUAUUUUAUAUUUUAUCGUACAUUUAUAUUCUAAUACAUAUCAUCAUAUAUAGUUUUAAAAUUUUAUAAAUAAUUAUUAAACAUUAUUUUUAUAUAUUAUUACAUAUUUAAAAGUCAUUUAUUACUACAUUAUUUUAUUAUUUUUAUAUUUUAUGUGUUAUUUUAUUAAUAAGUAUUAUACUAUUUUUAUUAUUUGUUUUCAUAUCAUUUUGUUACUUAUUAUAUUUAUUUCUUAUAAUAUUUUUAAAUUGUAUACUGUAUACAUUUUAUUAUAUAUUUUUAUAUUAUUUAUUAUAUGAUUUAUAUUAUUUAAUUUAUAUUAUAUUUUACCAUAUUUCCUUAUUACCUUUAUUUUAUCAUAAAGUAUACAUUUUUACUUAUUAAUUAUAUACAUGUUCUUAAAGAAUAGCAACAUCUAGUACACUAUUUUUCUUAUAUACUAAGUUAUUAUAUCUAAUAAUAUAAUCUAUAUAUGUAUAUAUUCUUUUAAAAAGGUUCUCUUUUAUUGUUCUUACAUCGUUUAAUAUAUUUCUAAAUAGCUUACUUUUAUAUUUCAUACAUUUAAUUUGCUUAUUUAUUUUUAAAUUCUCUUUUAUUUUGAUAUAGUUUAAUAGGUUAAAUUUUACAUAUCAUUUUAUUCUUGUAUCUAUAUAUUCGCGUAAAAUUAGUUAUUUAUGAUUAUUUAGGUAUAUAUAUUUGCAUAAAAUGUUGUUAUAUAUAUGUUAUACUAUUAAAAUUAUUAUGCUCUAUGUUGUAUUGUACAUGUAAUACUAAUGCAUCAAUAUUUAUGUUAUUUAAGAUAUAUGCCAAGAGAUAAAUGGUGUAAUUUAUGCCAUUAUUUUAAGACAUUAUACUAUAUUUGCACGAAAUGAUAAAGCAUGUACAUUGUAAUUAGAUUUAUUUAGCUCUUUGUAAUAUGCAAAACACAUCAUUAUUUUUAAAACCAAAGUUAUAUCUCACUUAAUUCAAAAAAUGAAUUUUAAAAGUGAGGCAAUGUUUUGAUAUUUUAGAGAUCCGGGAAAUAGUGCCCUAACAUGCUGGGUUGCGAUUUCUUGUUUGUCUAAAUAUCUAAAAUAUCCUUUUAAACAAAUUUUAUAAAUCACGAGAUGAUUUCAGUUAUGAGAGUUUAAGAACAUCGUGUCCUAUCAUGUUGGAUGUGAUGUUUGUAUUCUUUUGGAGCUAAGGAAUCUCGAUUUUUCAACUUAAAUAAUUCCGGUUUUUAAAAAAGGAAUCUUAUUUUUAAAUCCUUUCAAAUUUUUGACAUUAAGACAGAAAUCUAUUCAAUUUGGUACCAAUUGUGGGCGUUGCGAGGGUGCGAAUCCUUCCUCGUACGUAACCGACUCCUGAACCUGUUUUCUUAACUUUCGUAGACAAAAACGUUUUAUAAGGUGAUCCAAUCACACCUAAAAAGGUUGGCGGCGACUCCCGUUUUUGUUUUUCAAAAGUCGAUCCCCGUUUUUCAAACAUCCCUUUAAAAAAUGGUUUCGACACUUAUAUGUUACAAAUAUAUGUAUAUAGAAACAUUGGUUAUAUUGAAAUUUGAAAUGAAACCCUAUUAAUUGUUCGGGCUAAGUCAAAUAUAGAUGGCAUGCCAUAGGAUAGGAAGAGUUCAAGGAUUUCUUCGACUUGGAGUCGAUGAAGCACUGGGAGCUAAUUUGAUUCGGUUUAACCGAUGAGACAUUAGAUGUCAAUUUAUAUAGCACUGAGCGUAGUUAUUACUUCGGAUUUAUCUUAUGAGGCACUAGGUGCCAAACUGGUGUGUUGGUUGGAUUCGUGUAUCCGUCCGAGCCUGAGUCGUGUUAAUAAAUUUAUAUGUUCGAUGUUGAGAUGAAAAAGAUGAGAAAUGAAAUAUGAAAUGAUGAAAUGAUAUGUGAAUUGUGAAUUGUGAAAUGAAAUCAAGUAUUGAUCAAAGAGUUGGAUCAUUGCCUGAGUUGAGAUUAACAAAUGUUAUAUGAAAUGUCAUUGAUAUGUGCUUGAGCAUGUGGAAUUUAGUGGAUGUAAUAAAGAAUGAGUAAAUUUGUAUUAUUGAUUUGAAUCAUAACUGCAUGACAUUUCUUGUUGCAUUCUCACAUUUUGAUUACUUAUAUCAGGUUAAAUUGUUCGAGUUAUAGAAAUACCAUUGGGUUUUACUCAGCAUGUGGUUUUGUUUUUUCAUGCGCAGGUUAUGUACUUUUCAAAUUAUCGUCGGCUCAGAAUCCAACCUUAAUUGCUCAAGUGUGGUGAUAUUUUAUUUUUGUAAUGGCAUGUACCUAGGAAGUCAUUUGUUUGAUGUUGUUGAUAUUUGAUAAUAUUUUUGUUUUUAAGUGGAAUGAUGGUCAUUUGUAUAUGUGGUGGUGAUUGAAGUUGUGUUUUGGUAUGUUUCAUAGUUUAAUAUGUUGGUAUGUCUUUCAGCUUAAAGCUUGAUAGCCUAAGUAGCUAAAAGUUAGCUUUAUAUUGGUAAAUUUGGUAUGAAUGAUAGUUUUGAAUGGUUGAUGUCUUGUUGAUUUGUUUGAAUAUACAAAAUGUGGUCCCAAUGAGGGUAAAUUGGUUAGGCACUUAAGUUGGUUGUUUUGGUAUGAAUUGAGCAUGUUUAAUUGUGUUUUGAUUAGGUUAAAUGGCUGGUGAAAUGGUAGCUUAAUGCCCAAGUAAUCACAAUUAGGUGAACUUGAGUUUUAAGGUACAUUUAGGUACACACGGCCUGGGUCCUGUAAACUCGUAUUUAAGACUGUAUGGGUAAUUUUUACUGUGAUUUUGAAUGAAAUAGCUUGCAUUUUAAUUAUGAUUGAAUAAUUGAUUGAUUUUUUAGUAAUGCCCGUAACCCUUAUUCGACAACGGAGAGGGCUUAGGGGUGUUAUAAUUAUGGUGUCCCUCAUUAUGAGAGCGACGACUUAUCCACUUAGGAUUUUGAUAAAUUUAACACUGUUGAUAUGGAUGCCAUAUUAGCAUAGUUAACCGAGGGAUGAGGAGAGUGGAAGUGUGAGGGUAUAAGAAUCACCCUUUAUCCUUUAAAUAAGCCAUUAUGUUUCCUGGUGUAAAACUGUGGAUGUAAUUUAUUUGCACGUGUAUUAGCCUUUUCUUGACCACUAACACUAUUAAUGUAUUUCGAGCAGCUAUUUUAUAUUGCAUUUUGCAGGAAAAGCGAGGGUGUUCAGGUAUAAAGGUUGGUAUCAAUUUCCCCCACCUAAUCAUAAACUUGUGUCGUCGAACGAGGGUGGAAAUGAAUCCAACAAAGCAAUUCCACCACCCCACUCAGAUUAUCAUCGGAUACUCUAUGUUUAGGCAACUUCAGGAGCUCUAGUGGAAAGAUUGAUGAUGAGCCUACACAGUGGGAACGUAGGCUAGGUAGAGAUGUGCGCUACAACAUGAGACUGCUAGAGGCCAUGAAACCAUUCAUGGAUAGCUUCAUGGCGAUCUAGGGGCAUAGAGCAUAUAAUGGCCCAAAAGAUCGAGCAAUUCAUCUGAGGUGAUGGGGGAUGAUUGGAAGACAAUGAUAAGGUGACAGAGGAUGAUGACUUCACGCCAUAUCAUGAAAAUUUUAAGGGUGUUUUCGCAUCAACGCAACCAUCUAAGGGGAGUCGUUAUCUGUGAACCCAAUAACCGACCCGUGAUGUUUUACAAAAGGUUGAUUGCGAGGCGCAAAGGCAAGGGAAUUGCAGAUCGUGUAAGGGUCCCGAAGAUGUUCAGCAAUGUUACAUGCUUUCGUAAUUUUUAUUUUUAUUUACUUGUGCAGUAUGUAAACUAUUUGAACUACAUUGCUUUUGGACUUUUUUUUUGUUCUUAUCUUUUGUAGUUUGUUUGGUUGUUUUUGCUUUUCUGUGUGUUUGUUCUAUAUGCAGCGAAUUACCUUGAAAGGCUAACUACAUUCGUGAGCUUCAACGAUGAGGUAAACCCCCGAGCUAGUUUGACACUCCAUUCUAGGGAAGUCCGAUAACCUCCAAUCUAUUUUAGGAACACAUUGAGGACAACGUUUAGUCUAAGUGUUUGUAUGUGGGGGUGCACAUAGUUUCAUGUGUUUUUUUUCUUGCUUUUUAUGUUAUUUUAUGUGUUUAUCUUUAAUUUUUUUCCUUUUAAAAUUUUUUUUCAAAAAUUCCAAAACAAAAAUUCAUUUUUAUUUUGUGUAAUUGCAUGGUGCUUGGGCAAUAAUUAAGUAAUAAGUAAGUAGUUGUACAUAUUGAAUAGGUAUAUAGAAUUGCCAAAAUUGUAAAUUUUGAACGAUACUAGAUAAUUUACUAUUCUUAAUUAUAGACUAAUUAGUUCAAUUAGUCAAUGUGUUUAAUAGACUAGAGGCAAUAACCUAAAUAAAAAUGUAUAAAGUGUACCAUAGGAUGAAUGAAAUUUACGGAUCCUUAUAGAUAAAUAAUUUGAAUUGUUAAUUGUACAUUUAAACAGAGGUAUGCUUUAAAGAAUUGGUGUCAGAUGAUUGAUUCGGGAAAGACCCUAGGCAUUGUUUGAAGUAGCCUAGAGCUUAAAAGCUUACAUGUUGCUAUAUACCCUUAGUUCUCCUAUAUUUGAGCCUUGAUCACCCUUUUCUUGUAAGCCUUAAUAUCAAAGCCUCAAACUUAAACAGGUUUAGCACUCAAUCCUUCUCAAUCACGUUCUUUAAAAUGCACUAUGUAAUAGACGUCGAACCAUGGACAUUGAGGGCUAGGUAGAUACAUCAUUGUGGCUUUGUGUGAGAAAAAGAAAAUGAAGAGAUUACGCAAAUUAGUACAUUUUAAAAAAAAAGGGUGAACAAAAGAGUGCAAAAAGAAAAAGAGAGCUAAAUCAAAAUUAAGCUCAAAAAUGAAAAUCUUUUUAUUCACAAUUACAAAGUUUUGUAUGUACUAAUCUCGUGUAAUACCUUCUAACAUUUUGGGAGAAAGAAGAUAGGUGAGGGAAGGAGAAAUAAGGAAGUGAGGUCAUGAAUAAAUUGGGGGCGAGUAGGGAACAAUGUCCUGUGCUUAACCAUUUCUAGUGCUUGAACCCAUUUUUGAGUGCUCAUUGUUAGAAUUCUAAAUUGUCCUAAGCCUCAAAAUGUUACAAGCCUAGAAGACCUUUAGGACCCGACUAAGUCACCAACAUAAUAAUUCAUGAAUAGCUUGCAUUUGUUUGAACAAAUAUGACCAAUUCUUUUUAAAUAUCUGUGAGUGAUCCGCAUAAUUUAUUUUGAUGGAUAAUAGUUGCGCAUAUGUUCUUUCCCAUUGCCUUUAUAUCUAUUGAUAUUUUAACUUAGUGAACUAACUAUGUCUGCAUUAGGAAUAAACAAGUUAGCUGGAUAUCACUCUUAAUUUGCAUGUGAGGUCGUUUUUGUACGAGUUCAAUGUUCUACCGCUAUAUGAAUUAAUUGUUUGAUUUAUCCUAGAGUCGUCUUUUCUUUUGCAUGUUUGGUGUAUUUGCUUGAGGAAAAGCAAAGAGUUAAGUGUGUAGGGAGUUUGAUCUACCGUAAUUUGAUAUGGCAAAUUAAGCUUUCCCGGUAUAUUUAAGGAGCUUAUUAUCAAGCAAAGUAGUAUUUUUUUAGUAGUUUUCUUUUGUAAUUUUUGGAUUUUAAGUUAAUAAUUGUAAAUUCCUUGUUUUUACUCAUUUUGUGAUCCAAUUUAUCCGAUAGUGUCAUUGAGGGACCUAACUUGUGGAUGAGUGGUGUGGGGACAUGUUGGAGGUUGAAAACAACUGAAAUUGACACUAAAGGAAAGGGUAUCGUGAUAUCCAAAUCUUGGAAUCGCAAUACCUCUAGUAGACUUGAAGAUUUUGAGACACCCUUUAGUGGUAUCGCAAUAUCCAUCCUCCAAGAAGAGCCCCAAGUUCAAAACUAAUCAGGGUAUCAUGAUAUCCUCUUUUGGGUAUCACGAUAUCAAUGUGGUGAGGGGAAAAAGUUAGACAAAAAGGGUAAUUUUUGUCCACCCGAUGCACCAAUCACAAAUGGCCCAUGUAGGGGCAAUUUUGGUAACAAAAUUUGAUUAAACAUCAAUCUAAAACAACCAAUUCUGGCUAAGGAGAGAGGAGACACAUUAGUUUGGUUUUUAGCCUUAGUUUCUUUAGGUUUUCUUUUAGUCUUUCUUCUUCUUUUCCUAAGGUUUCUUGUUUUCAUUUCCUUAGCAGUAGAUUUUACAUUUCCUAGUAACUUUUCUUCUUAUUUUAGUUAUUCAUAGUGGUAUUUAAGUUAGUUAUCACUGUAGCUUAGGUUUAUUUGCACUUUUAGUCCUUGUAUAUUGGUUAUAAGACAUUUUCAGAUUUAGUUUAAUGUAUUUCAGCCUUUGUUACUUUAAAUCCUUCAAAGUUUAUUCAUUUUAGGUUUAUAACUUUAGAUUUUCUUGCUAAAUGCUUUUCAUUUCAUGUUCUUUAAGGUUUCUUGCAAAAAAAUAUUAACUUUCAUAUGUUUUUAAGCUUUACUUUCAUAGCUUCUAUGUUUUCAUUUCCAUUGUUGUUAGUUGUAUUUUCAAUAUGAGUAGUUAAACCUUUAAGGCGGUCAGUUGAUGGAGAUAUGAUGAGCUAAUUUUUGGAUGAAGGACCAAAUCAUAAUAAAUUGAAUUAAUUUGAAUGAACCUAAAAACCUAGGAUUGACAUCCCUAAGGGAAAAUCUAAACAAGUGAGACUGAGAGGUAAUCUUGUUGCACAACAAUUUGUUAGUCCCAUAUUACUCGGUGAGAUCUAGAGAUAAACUAAACUAAUUUGUCUAAUUUGAUAUAAUUGGGAUCGAGAGAUAAAAUUGAGUCAGUUUAGUAAAUCAAGCGAUUGGAGCCCCUCAUUUGAAAAUUGGUAACCCACAUCAAAGUCAACCGACCACCGUUAGUCAUUUCUUGGUCAAUUUCAUAGUUUUGUAAUAUUUACAAUUUAUUCCCUAGAGUAACGUAUUUUAUUUUCUUACAACAUUUUCUUGGUAUGAUUUGUUGUAUUAAAAUCGUACCAGUAGCCACCUAGACUCUAGAGUGCGUGCUAAUUAUUACUCAACAGCCAUCUCUUUUGGGUUCGACCCUUUAGAAUACUUCGUGUUCCAUCAAAACUAUAAAUAUUACAACUAACACUGUCCACCUACAUUUAAGGCCCACAUUCCAAAAUAGUUUUCAAAAUCAUUAGUUUCAAUUCGCAUGAAUGCGACUAGUCAUCAUUUCCUCAAUAUGACCAGGUAGGAUGCCUUGAAUAGUGCAAGGAACUCCUUUAGAAGAAAUCUGCAUGGUCAUUGACCCAAAAUUCCAGUUUUUCGAUGAGAGAAGCCAUUGUAUGCCUGGAUUUGCAUCACACCCCUUUAAAGUUAAAACCAUUAAGUCAAUAGUAAAAUUGGCUCCUUGAACCUGCAACUCCGCCUCCUUGCAAGUACCGCUGGUAAACAAGUUUCUUCUAUCAACUAUUAUAACCCUCAAUUGCUCUUGCUGCCAAACUGGUAAAUUUAACAUAGCAACCAACCUUAUGUCCAUGAAGUUACGAGUACUUCCAGAGUCUACUAGAAAAAUGGCCUUAAUUGUCCCUAUGUGAGCCUCAAAUCGCAUAGUAUGAUAACUCUAUGAGCCCUUGAUAGCAUGCAAAGACAUCGCAGGCAUCUAAAAUUGGUCCCUAUCACUAGAAGGAUCUUCUAACUGAUCUGAGCAUUCCUAAAACUCCACAUCAAUAGAAGACUCCAACAACAUCUGAUACAACUAGCUCUGGACACACUUGUGUCCAUUGUGGUAUUUAGUUCCACACCAAAAGAAGAGCCCCCUUUUGUUUCCUUCCAACCAUCAAAGUAGGGAUAAACCCUUUAGAAAGGCCCUUUAACCCUUCAGAUGUAGAAUGAGUGGAUAGGACAAAUGAAGUAGAUUAGACGAAACUAGUUGGUCUAUUAGAGACAGAAGAAAAUGGCAUAGGUGUUUCGACUUUCCUGGCAAUAUGGAAACUGUCUACCAACGUUUGAGGUCUAAAGAGUUGAAGAUAUUGACUAAUUUCCAAUUUCAGAUUACUAACAAAUAUAUUGAAGGCAUAAGACUCAAGCUUUCAAAAGACUUACAAACUGGUCAUGGUAGUGCUCCUUAGAUUCUUGUCGCUUCAGUGUCACCAACUCCACCUUAGGAUCCUUGAAGAUGCUCAACUCAAAUCCCUCUUAAACUGUAAGCAUAACAUGUCCAAUGUAGCAAAUGGAGACCACCAUGCUUCUAGGCAUAGAAAUGGUGCCAAUCGAAUGCCCAACCCUCCAGAUGUAACAUCAUUGUGCACACUUUAUCACAAUCAAGCACUCCUUCAGCAAUGAAAAUAUUGUUCAAGCUUCACCCAUCAGCCCUUGAAAUCCGUACUUAUAACAACCUAAUUUCCGGUGGUGUUAAAAACAGUGAUUCAAGAUCACUAAAUCUGACGAGUGAGUUUAAAAUUUUAAUAAAUUAAUAUUUAUUAGUUAAGUGUGAUUUUAAAAGUAUGCUUGAAUCAGUGAAUUUUGUGAUUUAAAAGAAUUUAUUAAGUAAAUUGGGUAGAAAAUGAGUAUUGAGACCUCGAUUUCAUAAAUCGAGUCGAAAAUAUUUAUGGAGUGUUAUUGAGUUAGUAUUAAAUUUUUGUUAGAAAAUUUUAACGUUUUGAUAGUUAAUUAAUUAAAAAUGACUAAAUUGAAAAAUGUGCAAAACUUGCUAAAAUGAUUAAAUAGCUCAAGUGUUAAAUAAAAGAGGACUUAAAAGGAAAAUUACCCUAAAAAUGGUAGCUUAGGCAGCAUGGACGGAGAAAAAUCAAGAAAUUGAGUGAAAUAAGGGCAAAAUUGGAAAUUUUACAAAUUAAACAAAUAAAACAAAGACUAAAUUGAAAAUCUAGAUAUUUCUUCAUCAUUCUUCAGCCAAAAACACCAUAGAAGAGUUCCUUUUAAGCUGGUUUUUCAUAUUUUUUCACUCUAUAAGUUCAAUUCUUGCCUUUAUCUUAUAUUUUUUGUGUUUUUGAGACUUUUACAAUUAGGUCCAACUAUUGAAUUCAUUAGUUUUUUUAUUCUAUGAGUGAUUUUGAAAGUUACCAUGGAAAGGUGCUGGAAGUUUAUGAUGAAUUAACAUGGAUUUGAAGAUCUAAUUUUAUUAUAUAAUGAUUUCAUCAAGUGAUUUUAGUAUAAAUUGAUUUUUAAGACCUAAUUGUAAAAAGUUAAGAAUUGGGGUUUAGUGUUGAAAUUCUGAUUUUCAAAGGUUUUGUAGUAGUUUAAAAUGAUGAAAUAAAGUGUUAAAGCUCAAUUGAUAGGUUAAUUGAUUAGGGAUUAAAGUGUAAAAAUUGUAAAAUUUUGGGUAAAUGUGUAAUUUCAAAAAUUGAAGGGUAUAAAUUGUGAAGUGGAAUGAGGAUGAAAUAUAUGUGCUAAUGAAUGAAUAAUUUUAUAUUAUAGAUCAAGAUUCCAAAGAAAAUCUAAUAAAAUAUAAAUUAUCCAAAUAGUUCCUGAGCUACAACAAAUUUUACAAACUAGUCUAGGUAAGUUCGUAUGGUUAAAUUUGAAUAUUAUUUAUUUAAUUGAUGAUUGGAAUUUAUGUUUAUUGUUGAAAAUAAAAUUAUUUUUAAACUAUGUAUAUAAAAGUGAAAGUUUGAAGCUACCAGAACGCAGGAUUAAGUAUAUUCGUUCAGUGCAAGAAAAGAAUUGACGGCAAAUUACCCAAGUAAACUGAGGUUCAGCUUUGUUGCGAACUUCUGUGUUUGCUUUCCGUUUAGCUCACAUGAGCUUUAGUUAACUCGUAUGAUUUUCAGUUUAACCCUAUUGGGUUUUCGUUUAGCUCUUUUGAGCUUCAGUUUAACCCUUAUGGGUUUUUGUUCAGCUCUUACGAGCUUCUAUUCAACCCUUACGGGUUUUCGUUUAGCACUUGUGUGCUUCCGUGCAGCCUUCGAGCUUCUAUAUACGAUGUACUCAUAUCCGUAAGACGUUCUCUGAUUUGACAAGGUUGGUAAGUGAUAUAUGGAAUUAAUGUCUAAAGAUUUAAAGUUAUUUUGAUAUCGAUAUGAAAUAAGUGAAUUCUUCGAUUGAAAUUGUGUUUGGCAGGAAUAGUAUAAUGAAUGAUUUGCUUAAAUGAAUUGUUAUAAUAUGUUCGGUAAGAUUUAUGUUUAAAGUCAACAAACUUACUAAGCUCAUUAAGCUUACUUUAGUUGUUCAAUGUUCUUUGUAGAUUUUCAAGAAGUUCGGAGGAUCAGAUCAACACAUCAGUUCACACUAUCUAGAUAAUUCCGGUAGAUUUUGUUAAGUAUCUUAAGGUUUAUAUGGCAUGAAUAGGAUUGAAUUGAAAAGUAUACUUGAAUUAUGAAUGUGAAUGAUGCAUAUAUAUAUGUUUGUAUGCAUAUAUAUUUAGUAGUAGUUUUUAGUAAUCAAUGAAUGGAGUUUUUAUGGUAAGUUUAUGCAAAUGAGUCUUGUGAUUACAUUUUAUGUUUAAAACAUAAUUUUUGGUUUGUAUUGGUUGUUUGGUUGGAAUAAAUUAGUAUAUGAGAAUGUUGUGUGCAGGUUGGUAUCAAAAAGGGUCAGAAAAUGGCCUUAAAAUGGCCUAUUUUCGUUCACACGGAUAGAGACACGGGCGUGUGUCUCAACCGUGUGUGACACACAGCCAUACACAUGGGCGUUUAGUCUGGUCGUGUGUCCCCUACAUCUUAAAUUUUAGAAACAGAAUACUCAGAAUUAAGCACACAUGCGUGUGUCUCAACCGUUAAUCCACACGACCUAGCACAUAGGUGUGUGGCUUGGCCGUGUGAAAAGUGCAACUAAUUUUAGGAAAAUAAAUUGACCACAUGGCCUAGCACACGGGCGUGUAGUUGGCCAUUUGACCCAAGUCAAGGAGUUACACGGGGUAAGACACAGCCUGAAGCACGGACAUGUCAUGGGAUCAUACGGGCGUGUCCCUUGGCCACACAGGCGUGUGACCCUUGUACCUAGGAAAAAUUUUAAAAUUUUGCGAAAAAUUUUCUGAGUUCUUGAUUUGAUCCCGACUUACUUAUAAUGCUUAAAUUGGGCCGUGAGGGUCCAUUCAAGGGACGAUAUGAUUAGUCUCGAUUAUGAAUAAUAAAUGACAAGAAUUAUGUGUAAUUAUUCUGUAAACUCUAAUAAUACUCCAUAACCCUAUUCUAGCGAAGGAUACGGGUUAGGGGUAUUACAAUACUUCUUAGAGAAAACCAAUCCAAGGCAAGCUUGUAAUAGCAGGACCUAAAGGAGGUUAAGAUGCUUUCAAUGGAUCUUGAGUGGAAAUCCUAGGGGUGGACCACGUAGGAUCCCCUUCCCUUUAGCUUGAGCAACAACCACCGUGCUUGAAGAAGUAGGGUUCCCAAGGUAUUAUUCAAACAACGAUUGCAGUUCCAACUUAAAAUCCUCCUUAAAACCUUGAAGUAUCUCACUUAUCAUCAAGUUGGGAUAACUCUCAUUGAAUCUUCAUCAUUUCUUGCUGCAACACACAUACAUCCUUUUGCAACUGCGUGGUAACACCAUCCCACGCCAUAGAAAACAUUGAAGCUCUAAUACCCUUGAUGAGAUCGAAAACCAAAAAUAGGAAAUAAAGAAAAGAGAUGGAAAAGAAGAAAAGAGAGCAAAGAAACCAAUGAAUUUGUGUGCAUAACAAUUUUUAUAACCUCCAAAGUCUUUUACACCGAAUAUAUAGGAAAAACAAAAGAAUUGUUUUUUAAAAAUUAGUUAAAAUGAACGGUAAAACUAACUGUACAUAUGUGCCUUCAAAACGCUUCGUUUCAUUAAAGUCUCGCUACACACCGUUUCAUUAAGUUCUUCUCUAAACGCAUCGUUUGUCUUUCUUAGCCAAAGUUCCUUUAUUUCAGUGCCAAAGUUCCUUUAUUUCAGUUUCGACCCAUACCAUUGGCCAUAGGUAUAACAACGAGCUCAUUUUCUUAAAUGAUAUAUACGCGUAUACACCUACCCCCUCACGUCAAUCCCACGAGCCUCUUAUCCAUUCUUAUUCGAUCACGGCGGGGGGCAAGGCAAAAUAGAAAAACUCACAUUAGGUUUAGGGAUAAUCAGGCUCGAACUGAUGACUUCCACCACGUCAAGGUGACACUCUACCGCUGAGUUAUAUCCCUUCCCUGCCCCCAUCAAGAAAUAGAACUGACUAAUCCUAAGUCAAAGGAUCGAGAAACUCAACAACGCCACUAUUCUUGAACAACUUGGAGCCAGGCUUUCCUUUCGCACUAUUACGGAUACGAAAAUAAUGGAAAAAGUUGGAUUCAAUUGUCAACUGCUCCUAUCGGAAAUAGGAUUGACUACGGAUUCGAGCCAUAUACACAUGGUUUCAUAAAACCGUACGAUUCUCCCGAUCUAAAUCAAGCAGGUUUUACAUGAAGAAGGUUUGCCUCAGCAUGUUCUAUUCGAUACAAGUAGGAGAAGCGGUAUUCUUAAAAAAAUAGAGAAAUCAGAACCAAGUUAAGAUGAUAUCACCAACACGGGUUAAAUUACUACCUUUAAGAGUGAUCUAGAUUCUAUUUGAAGUUAUGAAAACAUUUGGAUUCAGUUAUGAUGAUUUUGGUUUUUUUUCUUUUUGUUGGUACCCAUCCAGGCAUUAGCAUUCACUUUGCAAAUGACAGGAGACAAGUUUUCUGCCGAUUUUAUCAAUUUAGUUUGCUAAACAGACAGAAACCUUAACAAUUAAAAAUUGGAAGGAAAUGAGAGAAUACAGGAAAGAAAAUGGUUCCAAAUCCAUAUGUUUGGUUCCAUUCGGUUGAGGAAACAAAUGUAAGCAAAGUAGAAAAAAAAAAAGGAGAAUGAGGACUAAGACCAGAUAAGAUUAACCUUCCACACCAAAGUCGAUGAUAAAAUUCAUUGACCUUCACUCAGCUGAAGGUCUCCACAAUUCUGACAUCGUCCACUGAAGAAACUCCAACUCUUUCACAUCAUUUUGAGCCUGGUUUGCAGGGAGAAAGAGUGUGAGACAAUGAAAGGUCAAAAGUGCAAAGGGCAUAAAAUUUUGAAAAGAGACAACCAAGGAAAAAGAAAUUUUAAAUGAUGCUUUUGCAAAUUUUUUUGUUUUUCCCUGGUUUGGAAUAUGUCAAUGGCCUUUCAUUUUUCUUGAUUUAUUCCAUCAUAUAUCUCAUGUCCUUAGUUCCAUACCUUGUAGUUGCUGUAAUUACAAACCAUGAAGUACAAAGAAUCCAAGUGUUGGAACAUUUCUGGACUGUUGCUAUUCUACGUUUCCAUUAACUCAGGAAGACAAAGAACUCAAAUGUUCAGGUGUCUAAACCUAUAUAUCAUUAAAAAAUUUCAUAAAUAUGUAUGUACCUUUUCACUGUAUAAUCCAUUUAUGGUGAUAUUAAGGUCCUUAUCUGUAAAAGAUCUAUCUCCUCCUUCUGUUGGACAUACUCGUUUUAGCAAUGGUGUGCUUACUUCUCCUUUACAAAAAACACUGAACUCUGGGCAUUCGAUUGCAACCAAUUCAACCAAAGAUGGGAACUCAAAGCGAUAGUACCCUGAGCAAAAACUUGUAAGCGCCUGUAAGCUUUGAAGUCUGAGAUACUCCAGAUGCUUGAACAUGAUGCUAUAUGUACUUCUAUCGUCUGCAUCUGCUACAAUUCCUUCUAGCAUUUUGCAAUCUGUUAUCCUCAUCCUUUUCAGUUGCACCAUGCUUUUAGCAGUUGAGGGUGUUACUAGAUUUCUAAGUCCGUGACAUCUUGAUAUUUCAAGAGUAGUCAGAUUUUGGAAAGACACUGUGGAUGGAACUAAAUUCUUCAAUUUGGGGCAUUCCGAUACUUUUAGACUUCUCAGGUUUCGAAAAUGUGUUCCAGGUUGAGACUGAAACUCUUCCUUCCAGAGAUGCAAUAACUCAGGAAGUUUAGACAACCGUAAAUCACUAAAACUAUCAAGUUCCCAUGCCUGCAUUUUUUCCUCCGUGCUUUUACACUGAAAUAUUUCUGUAAAGGAGGCAUCAUCAACAACAAGCCUUUCAAGUUUGGACAAUGAGAGAAAGAAACCAGAUGGAAGAAUAUCUAACUGCUUAGGUAAGCCUAUGAGCUUCAGAACCUUUAGUUUGGAGAAUGAAUCCAUAGAAAUUUGGUCAUUACAAAUCUUUCUCAGGCUUCCCAUGUCCAUUAUUCCUAAUUUCUCCAAGGAGGGGAAUGCCACCUGCAUGAAAGAUUUGCAUCAAUAACUUGAAAAAAAAAUGAAGAUAAAGGUAGUAAAGGAAUUGCCAUAACCUUUUCAUCAAUUAGAACUGUCAAAUCAGUAUGCAUAUUCUGCCUUGAGUUGUUUCUAGUUACAGAACCAGAGAUGAAUGUAUUCAACAUAGGGCAACUCUGAAUCCAAAGUUCUUUCAAGAAGGGGAACACAAGGUAAUUUCCUGAGUAAAAUCUUGUGAGAUUGGAGAGGGAAAUAAGCAGUAAAGUUUCCAGUUUAGGGAACAUUUUCUUGCUCAUCCUUUCUCUUUUUGGUAAUCCUUUUCUGAUUAUUACCUCUUCCAACAUCUCACAAUCAUGAAUCUCAAGUUUUUCAAGAUGCACAAGGUCCAUGGCCAUGGAAGGGUUAAAUGGACAUCUCAAGUUUCUACAGUUAUAAACUUUCAGAAACUUAAGGUUUUUAAAGUCCAAAAUUCCUUGUGGAUUCCAGUUUCUUAUUUCCAUCAACUUAGAGGAAUCAGAGAGUACCACAUAUUGGAGCCCACGAUAUUCAACCUACAAAAGCAACAUAUUACAAUACAGAAAAAUGGAAUUAAGAGAAGCUCUUAUGUAUGUUCUUUGAGUUUUUCCCCUGAUUUUUCCCCCAUGGAAAUAAAGGUGCAGAAAAAAUAAACUUGAGGAUCAAAGUCUGGGGUUAAUGCAUACCGUUUCCAUGAACAAAAGCUGUAUGGUGGUGUUUUGAUCGCCUUCCCAGUGGCCUUCACCUCCAGCUUCUCUUGAAUACACCCGUUUUAGUUUUGGUGCAUUAAACCUUUCCCGAGGCAAAGUUUUCAUCUUUGGGCAAUGUCUCAUGGUUACAGUUUCCAAUGAAGGGAAUUGGAAGGUGCAGUUUCCUGAGCAAAAGCUCGCUAUGUUUGGCAGACAACUAAGUCCCAAAUACUUUAGCUGAGUUAAAACAAUGGCUUCCUUCACUUCAUCACCUGGGCAUGUUACAAUUUCUUCUAGCAUUUUGCAAUCGGUUACACUCAUUCUAUUAAGCUGCACCAGGCUUUUAGCUGUGGAGUGUGCAAAUAAAUGUUUAAGUCCCUCACACCUGGACACUUCUAGAGUUGUCAAAUUCUCGAAAGACACUGAGGAUGGCACUAGAACGCUUAAUUUACCACAAUCCUGCACUUCUAGAACUCUCAUGUUACAGAAAAUUACUCCAGGCUUAAAAUUCUCCUUCCAAAAAUGUGUCAGUUCAUGGAGUUUGGAUAACCUCAGUACACUCAACUGAGCACAUGCCCCUUCCAGCUUUUCGUCACCACCAGGUUCUUCACAUGGGAAUAUUUCAUUAAUGGAAGCAUCACUCAGAACAAAAUUUUGAAGAUUUGAUAGUGAUAGAAAGAAAUAAGGUGGAAGAACAGUCAGUAGUGGAGAAUUUAUGAGCUCCAGAACUUUCAGCUUAAAAUACCCUUCUGGAAGUUGUCCAUGCCAUAUCUCUUUCAUGUUGCCAUUGCUUUCCAAUCUCAGUUCUUCUAAACAAGGGAAUGUGCCCUGGUCAGUUGACAAAUGUGUUAAACAAAAGCAAGGAUGAAUUUCGAUAAAGAAAAUGGAAUUGUGGCAAUGAGUUUAUUGUCUAUCCAGACAUUCUUGAACUCUCAAUGUCGCAUAAUACUAAUACAAAUCUCAUGCUCGGUCUUCCGGUUUAGAUGGUAAACAUGCAUACUAUUUGAAAUCAGAUUAGGAUAGCAAGGAUGAAAUUAGAUAAAGGAUAUAGAAUUUUGCCAACAGUUUAUUGCAUAUCCAGACACUCCUGAAGCUGAAAACAUUGCUUAAUACUAAUACUAUUUUCAUCCUUGGCCCUUCGUUUUAGUUGGUAAACAUGCAUGCUAUUAGAAUUCAGAUCAGGACAGCUAUAGAGAGAAUGCUCAUGGAUUAGAUGUGGAUGGAUUUAUGCAGAAAGUAAAAUAUGCACAUCUAGUUUUACUAAUUACUAUGUUAGAAUAAGAAAAAGAAAAUCAAUGCAUCUUGUGGACAUGUUUCACAUACCAUAUUGAUCCAAAAUAAAGGAUGCUGUCCUCGUGUUUCAUGGGAGCUUGAAUAUUCUGAAGCAAAUAUCUCCACUUUGUCACAUCCAUAAACAUCCAAUUUUUUCAAUAAUGGCCAUUCGGUGGUAUGCACCCCAGAGUAGAAACUCUUCAGUUUUGGUAGCAUAGAAAGGUUCAGGUAUGUCAUUUGAGGAAAUACAAACUUGGUGUUUAUUUCUGCCUCAGUGAAUUUGUGUUCAAAUAAUUCUUCUAAUGAGGCACACUCCAUUACUUGCAGAUUUUUUAGUCUCUUAAGUCUUUCCAGCAUAUUAAGUGGGAAAAUGUUUGAUAGUUUCACACAACUAUGAACUUCAAGGUGUUUUAACUUGGAGAAGGAGUUCAUCUCAAGUUGGUCAUCCCAUAUCCUUUCCAAAUUCCCCAUGUCUACAAUUGUCAAAUCCUUUAACAAAGGUAAUGACACCUACAAAAAUUAUUUCAUUGUGUUAAUAACAGAACAUGGUUAACUAUGUGAGAAAAGAGACAGAACAAUGGAGAACAGGCCUUUCGACUUUAUUCGAUGAAUUCUGUCUUAAAACAUUUUAAGCCUCAGAAAAUAUCACUGAACAAUGGGUGUAGAGAGAUUCAUGGAUGCACCUGCCAUGCAUUUUUCAUUUUGAAAUUUGCACCCUACAGAAAAAUCUUUUUAAAGAAAGUAAAAAAUUCACAAUGCAGAUCAGCCUGACCUUAUUACUGAAAAAGGGUUUAGCAGAGGCAUUAGGGGCAUCCUUUACAAGAAUAUUCGAAUACUCUCCACUGAUGAUCUCAUUGUGCAGCUCGUUUGAAACAGUGGAUGCAAAUGCAACCAUCUUUGGACAGCCAACUAACGUAAUUUCCUUCAAGUUUGGACAUUCCAGUGCAAAACUUCCUGAGGAAAACCAUGACAAGCCCAAACAAGACUUGAUAGUUAUUGUUUUAAGCUGAGGGAAUAUGAUCUUCAUUGUAGUUGAUUUGUCAUCUCUGAUGAUUUCUUCAAUUACUUUGCAAUUUUUUACUUUUAUCUGCUGCAGCUGCACAAGAUCUGCAGCCAUGGAAGCUGUUAACAUGUAUCUCAAGUUGUUACAGACAUACACUUCCAGACAUUUGAGUCUUUUGAAGUCUAUAAUUCCUCGAGGAACUGUAUUCCAGAUUUCCUCCAACUCAGGAAACUCACGAAGUUUCAAAUGCUCUGGCUCAUAAUAUCUUACCUAUUAAAACCAAAUUGCAACAGUUAAUACUAGAAUAAUAAAUUGAAUUGAAAAAUAAAAAGGAAUAACAGAUUCUUCUUUAAGCAAAAAGAGGGCUUACUAUAUUUUUGUGCAACUGAUAUAUGGUGGCAUUGAGGUCACCAGCCCAAAACCCCUUAUAGUCCUCUUCUGAUAGCCUCACUCCAUGUAACUGUGGGGUACUUAAGACUCCCUGACAAAAGAUCUUUAAUUUGGGACAUUGUCUCACAAUAACUUGUUCCAAAGAUGGGAACUGAAAGCUGUAUUCCUCUGAACAGAAGCUUGAAAGGUUUGGCAAAUAAUGAAGUACUAAGCAUUUCAGCUUGCUGAAACUUACUAAGUCUUUUGCAUCAUCUUUCUCUUUUGCAACUAUUUCUCUCACCAUAAUGCAGUCUCUAAUCCUCAUUUUUAUCAGCUGCACCAGAUUCCAAGCUACUGAAGAUGUAAUUAAGGCAGUUGCUUUGCACUGCCAAAGGUCCAAAGUUAUGAGAUUUUGAAAGGAUGACAAGUAUGAUCCCAAACUGAUCGAACCAUCACAUCUCCUAACUUCAAGAGUUUCAAGAUUUAGGACAACAUGGGGUAGUUGUGAGUUUUGCUCCCCUAUGUAGCCAGUGUUCAGAAGACUAACCGGCUCCCUUUCCGCUUUCUUUUCACUUGCAUCUCCUUCAUCAAUGAAGUUCCCUUUGAAAUCACAAUGAAUCAGCUCAAGCUUUUUCAGAUUGUUAAAUUUUUCUAGAAGAUUAAAUAGAAAAACAACUGGUUUGUCAUGAUAGCCAAGCACUUGAAGAACUUUUAUGCGGCUGAAGAUGCCUACUUGAAAUGGAUGAUUGCGUAUUACUGAAAUGUGCUUGCUGUUUAAUGACAACUCCUCCAAAUCAUGGAUCACCUAAGAAUCCAUUAGAAACAAGCUGAAGUUAGUUGCUAGUUACCUUAAUACAAAGACAUAUUUUGGUAAGAAAAUAGAACACUUCCUUUACAGGUGAUCAAAUAAAGUCAAUUAAACAAGAGUGAUGAUUCAAUAUGAUUAAACAGGUUGGGUGUUUCACAUAAAUUCUUCAGCUAUACAUUAACUGCUUGUUGAAUAUCAACAACUUAAAUACUCAUUUAUAAGCACCUCAUUCAGUUUGCACAUAAAUGUAGGAUAUUGGAGAUUCAUACCUUUUCAAAAAAGAAAACUGGCUUUUGAUUUGAGGACUGAUGUUCUUCCAUCCCAAGCACUUCUUGGCCACAAUGAUAAGUCUUCAACUUUUUUAACUUUGGCCAUUUUGCUUCAUAUGCUGCUGGGUAAAAGCAUUUCAGUUCAGGCAGGUUCUGAAGUGUAAGAGAGCAGACUUCAGGAAAUUCAAACUCAUUAACAUGUUGGUUCUGUACUUUCUCCUCUGAAACAACCACUUCCAAUCCACAAGAAUCAAUUGUGAGAUCUACGAGUUGUUUAAGACCUUUUGCCACUGAUGCAGGAAAAAGACUUUUCAGACACCAACAGUCUUGAAUGUAUACAUUUCGUAUAUUUUCAAAGGUAAGAUUGCUUUGGGAAUCCUCAUUCCAGACAUGUUUCAGCUUUGGAAGAUGAGAAACAUACAAUCUUCUUAGCUGAGUGCCUACUUUGAUGUCCGAUGAUUCAAAAAUAUUUUGUAGUGAAUCACAGUUGAAAACUAUUAGUGUUUCCAAUCCCUGGAAGUUCCACUCCUUAAUAGAUGGGAAAAUAGUCAAUAUAUCAUUACAAUAUCCAACCUUCAUUUCUUUUAGUUUGCUAAAAGAAUCUGUGUGGAGUUGAGCGUGCCAUAUCUUCAUAGUUCCCAAAUGGGAGAUCUUCAAUUUCUCCAACUUUGGAAAUGCAACCUGUAUAAUGUCAUGCAAAUGAGUACAAAGAUUAAAAAGAAUUAAUUCCUACCAUUGAUGUAAAAAAAAGCGGGAAAAAUCACACUGAAGAAAAAUGGGGAAUUGUUCACCUUUGCAUUAAAGAGAACUUGUUCACCUAAAUGAUGAUCAUUCUCUUUGUUUAUUUCUAGAGUUCCAAUGACAGUUGUGAUGUCUGUACUCUGAGGUUUGUGCAUAAACUCCUUCAAACGUGGGCAAUUCUCUAUCUCCAAAAGCUUCAAAGAUGGGAACUCGAGAAAGCAACUCUCUGAGCAGAAUCCGACUAAGUUCACAAGAUUUCUCAUUUUCAAGGAAUUUAGUUGGGGGAACAAUAUCUUGGCAAUCUCUUCUUUUUCUUUUUCUUCUUCUUUUACCUUUUCUUUUGUUUCUGUUUCUUUUUCCUUUUCUUUUACUUCAUCUGGAAUUAUAAUCUCUCUUAUACAUUUGCAGUCAAUUAUCUCAAAGCUUUUGAGUCUCAAUAAGCUUCUAGUGAUAGAAGGUGAAAAAAGGUGUUUAAGGUUGCCACAACCCUCAAUUGCCAAGCUUGUCAAAUUCUGACUGUAGUAAGAUGAUUUCAGCCAUAGCCUUUCAAUGUUGAUGCAGGACAACUGCAGUUUCUCAAGGACAGGAAACACAACCUACAUAAAUAAACAGCAUUUCAGUGAAAUUUAAUCUUUCUUUUGAGUUUCUAAAAUUAUGCUUCUAUAACUGAAAGAAGAUAAGAUAUAUAUAUGCAUCGUAAUAUUAGCACCUUUCCAUCAAAAAGUAGCCAAGACCAUGUAUUCACCGGUUCCAGUUGAUAAAUGGAACGGCUCUUCUCUUUGGAGCAGAAACUAUGAAGCUCUGGUAGAAGCUUCAGUGUUAAGGAUCGCAAUUGGCCAAACUGAGUUUUAUUGGUUGCUAUACCAGCAUUUUGCUCUCUCUCUUCAGUAACGAUCUCUUCAAUGCUUUUGCACUUUGAAACUUUAAUUUCUUGAAGUUGGACAAGCAUUUUGGUCAUGGAGAAUGGAAAAAGAUUCUUGAGUCGGUCACAACGUUCAACACUUAUGAUUUGCAAUCUAUUGAAACAUUCUUCUUCAAGUUUGCCUUGACAAAUCUUCUCCAAAUUAAUCAGAUUCUGAAGAACUAGUGAUUUGAGGAUAGGAAAAGCUUUACCUGAUGCCACCUCCAUAGAGUUAAUAAUGAACAGUAAUUCUGGACCAUUUUGUAUGUAGAGAUUCUUGAGCUGUGGAAAACCAGUGCCAUCCAACUCAUACAGCAAGCUCUUGAUGCCUAGCAUUUCAUCUAGAUAUAGAUCUUCAGUUUUCUGCAACAACAGUUUAACUCCACGAUCCAAGUGAAUUCCCUUAGUAAGCUGGAGUUUCAGUGUCCUCUCCUUUUCAUACUUUCCGGACCAGUUCCAGACCUCCCCGAUAAGAAUCUUGUAUCGAUUCAGUUUUUCAGAGAAUAGUUCUGCUGGCAUAAGUUGAACAGAAUGAAUAUGGACAUCCAAAGCAACUAGACCAGACAAAGAAUUCAAUUCACUAAGGCUGGCAUUGCCUUCAACACCCCAUUGAUCGAAGCUGUUGCGCAUAAGCAGUUCUUCUAAAUAAGGCAAGCCUGAUAUGAUUUUAUCUGGAAUGAAUUUAAGCUUAGAACAAUUGCUCAAGUCUAAGGACUUAAGCCUUGUUAGUCCCCCUAUUUCCCGGGGCAAUCUAUGAAUAUCAGAACUGAGAAUUUUAAGUGUAUCCAAUUGCUUCAGCUUCCCAACAAUUGCGAUGUCAUUCAACUUACAUUCAUCGAAUCGCAACCUUUGAAGGUUUCUUAAAGAAGUAAAUGAUGAAGGCAGGGAAGCAAAAUCCAUACCAGUGAAAUCUAAUAUCAAGAGUUCAUUCAUCCGCUUAAAGAAAUUGUCUGGAACUUCUAAUGAUGGAUUUUUGUUGAACAAAACCAGCAACUUUAGCCUGGGGCAUUCGAGAUUGUCUGGCAGCUUGUUAUUGCUACUGUAUGGCAGCGAAAUGGCAGUGCAACUGUUGAGUUUUCUUUCCUUUAGCAGCUCUUCGAUACGGUUUUCAUCCUCUAUAACAAACAUCCGCUUUUCUUCAGAUGCAAUCCAAAUGGCGACAUCACGAACAAUGUCAUGCAUUUUCACCGCUUCAUUGUUGUCACUGCUGAGUAGUAAACCUGCAUCUUUGAGCUUAUUCAAACAUUUUUUGGCUUCUUCCAAUGUGCUAACAUUACUUGCUAUUCUCAAACCCGAGUUGUAUCUUAGCAAAUCAGAUACAUGAAUGUCAGAACCCCGGGGCAGCAAGGCACAGAGUUGGAAAAAUGACUGCAAUUGAGGGUUCUCUAACAUGCUGUAACUCCACUCUAUAGUGAAGUAAACACUUUUGAGCGCUUCUUCCUUUUUUGUAAUUGGCUUUGUUUCUUUUCGCAAAGCCUCCACCAAAAGGUUGAAGUUUUGUGUUCUCAGUGCAAUUGCAAUUGCUGAAAUAGCAACCGGAUACCUGCACAGUUUUUCACAACUUUAGUUAGUAGUUGUCGGUAACCAGGCUGGUUUGCUGCAUUGCCCACAACUUUCUGAAUCCACCCCAUUGAUUCUUCCUCAGUUAACACGUGGACAUUGAACAUUUUUUCCGUUUUCAUAUCAAUGAGUACCUCUCGACUUGUGGAAGUCAGCAAUAUUUUGAAUCUAACAGCAGAGAAUUUCUGAAAACCAUUUUCGCUGAUAUUUUGCAUCAAUGGCCAUCCUAGAUCUUCUUCACUUGCAAUACUCUGGUCACCUUCAAUAGCAAUCCCAACUUGUUCCAAUUCCAGUCUUUGGCCAUCCCAAAUAUCAUCUAAAAUUAGAAGAACUCUCUUAUCUUGUUUCUUCAACCACUGCUGCAGUCUCAUUGCUCUUGCAAACACAGUCUCCUCAUCAAGUUUCAGGCCUAGUGCAUCUGCAAUUUCUCCCUGAAUUCUUUUUAUCUUUGGAUUCCAUGAAACAAUUACCAUCACAACCUCAUCAAACAUGGUUUCUUCCCUGGCUCUCCUAGCAGCUUCUUUCACUAGCAUGGUCUUGCCUACACCAGGCCUCCCAUUUACUCCAAUAAUCUUCAGAUCAGGAUCCUUUAAAGCUUCCACAAUAUCCUCCAGUGUAGCUUUCCUCGAUUCGAAAGCCUCAAAGCCUUGAAUAGGCCUAGAUUUUGUCUCCUGGGUAUUACCAGGAUAUAAACCUCUACUGAACCCGCGUUGUUCAAUCAGCUUGCUGAUGGCCUUGGGGGUGUCAGCUUUUGCUGAACCACUGACCUUAGCUUCAACUUCCAUCACCUUGUCGGCCUCAUCACUGGUUUUCUUCUCCGGUUCAACUUCCAUCACCCGGUUUCUUUUAUCAGCUUCAGGUUGAUCUUCCAAGUUUUGAACCUUGCUCUCAUUGUUGAACUUGUGAGCUUCUGCUUGUUGAAUGAGCUCCAGAACAGCUUGUGCAUCCUCUUCAGCUUUCUUGUUGAGCAAGUCAAGAGACUUCAAAUUAGGACACAGGCCAAGGAAACACCUCUUCUUUGCUUGCGCUUCAAGGUUUUUCACUGUCUCUUCCUCUUCCUUGAUUUUCUCCUCUGCGCGAUUCACCCAAAUCUUGCCAUCUUGGUCAAACUCUUGCCCCUUUUCCUUGGAAACAUCAAUGAAAUGCUGCACUCUGUCUCUUUGGUAUCUCAGAUUCUCAAUUUGUUCCUUGAGAUUCUGAACUUUACUAUCAGGCUUCAACAUGUAACGUUUAAACCCAGAAACAAACUCCAUUUUUUGGGGAGUUUUCAAUUUAUAGUAAUUGGUAAAGCAGACAAGCAAACCAAAAACAAAAUAGCAGUGAACGAAUGAUCAAACUAUGGAGCAAAUGGAGUUUCAGUCAUUGUAAUGAAGGAAAAAAAGAAGCAAUGGAUGGCAAAGACAACAAGGCAAAGAAAGCAUCAAAAGGUAAAAUAAAGAACAUGAAGAUAAAACUAAGAAUGUGGAAUCAAUGCUUUGAUCAAUUGCAGAAGUUAGGGCUUUGACCAUUAGAAGCUCAAACUCCUAAUUCUUAUGACUGGUUUUUUUGAGUCCUGCCGGUCUCCAAGUUAGCCCAAUUGAGUAAAAAAUUUGGAGAUAAUAGAGUAGGAAUUGAGUAAAAAAAUUUUAAAGUUUGUUGGUUUUGAUAAUUUUUUUUAUAUUUUUUUUUAGAUUUUUUUAAAAUAUUUAAUUUUUUAAAAAGAAUAUAAAUUUUCAAACUUUUAUAAAUAUUGUAAAUUUUAAAAAUUAUUUUUAUUUUUUGUUGAGAGAGUUACCAAUUUUAUAUUUUUCAAAACUAAUGGGACCAAAUAAAUAUUUAUAUUAAUAUGUUAUUUGAAUUAUUUAAAUUGUAAACUUUUAACUUAGACUUGAAAUCAAAACUCGAAUUACAAGUUAACUCGAAAAAAAUAAAAUAAUUUGAUUCGAUUAAUUCAAAAUUUAAUUUUUUUAAUUUUUUUCGAAUCGAAUUGAAUUUUGCUCAAAAAAUUUUUCAUUUUUCAUUUCUCAAUACAUGUUGCAAUUAGUUUCUUGUUUAAUAAUUUUAUUUGAAAGUGGAGCCUCCAUAUUUAAGUUAUAAUUGUUGAUAAAAUUAUUUAUACAUCUCUUAAAAAAUUUAUGAAUGUUUCUUUUUCAUAUUUUUUAAAAAGAAGAACAAACGAAUUUUCUUCAAAGAAAAGAAAAAGUUAAAAUGAAGCAAAACGGUUUCGGAAGGCAAAGAAUAAAGUGUCGAGCAGCUUUUAACUGCUUGAAGUUAUUUAAAGUUUUUCUUUUUUCUUUUUUUUUUCAAUUUUCCAUAAGAAUUUUCUGUUUUUUUUAAGUUAAAAUUUUAAAGAUUGGAAAAUAAUUAAGGAAGGAAUUUUUGGUUCCUAAAUAUUCUUAGAAUUAGAAAUUACGGCAAUAAAAGUUGUUAGGAAAAUCACGAAACUUUGCUUUUCAUCAAUUGUUAAAGAAUACAUGUGAGAAUUAAAGUUACAAAUCAAAAUGCAAUUGUUCAUGUACAACACACUGAUAGGCUAGAUUAUCGGAUGCAUUUCUGGACUUAGGUAUGAGAAUAUGACUUUCAAAGAUGAAAAAAGAAUAUAAAAGAAAUAGAACAUAUUAGACAUAUGCUCUUAUAUGUCAUUCAAACUCAAAGUUGGAGUAACAUAGCUAGGAAGUGAAAUAACAACUUUAGAUCAAUGAAUAUCGCUGAAAUUGAGCAGCAGCAACAUACUCUAGUAGACAGCAGUGAAAGGGGUAUCUCCUAUAACUCUUUAUAAAGUAACUGUGCCAAAAUGAUAAGUGAAAUAAUCAAUUUCUGCCAUUAAACUACAUUUUAUGCUUAACCCCAUUACUAAAAGUAGGAUAUUUUUAACACUCGUACCUUAUGGAACACAAAAUCAUUUCUGUGAUUCUUUGAAACUCAUACUUUUCUAAAGCAAAUAUCUCCACUUUUCCUUCAAUUUUGGCAUUUAUGUAGUAUGUAUCCUUGAGCUGACACUCUUCAAUAUGAAUUGCCUAUAGAGUUGAAGGAUUAAAUAAGUUUAAAAAAAUAUAGAUUUAAGGCUCUUUCCAUAGCAAUGGAUUGAGUGAUUGUUGCAUCCGCUGUAAUCUCAUCAUUCAUCCCCUUAAAUAAAAAUGGAAAAAGUAUUCCAAAGUUCUGUUUUUUUUUUCCCUUUAAUCAAACACAUGUAAGAUAUAGACUCACGCAGUUAGUUGACAGGUUGUACCAUAUCUUUCUCCAGUUUCCUACAUCCAUGAUGCUCUGUUCCUCUAAGUAAGGUUAGUUUGCUAGAGAAAAAGAAGUAGUACAACAAGAAUAAGGAAUCAAAUAUUUAAGAAAAAUGAACAAUAAAAAAGACAUGAAAGAAAGCAACGAUACAAUAAAACAAAAAUGGGAUAUUACCUUUCAGUGGAAAGAGUUGGAAGCGAAUCUCUAAGUUGUUUCUUUCUAUCCUAACAAAAUAAUGUCAGUGCCACGAGUGAUCAUAAGAUUGGCCUUUGUCCUCUUAAAUCAUUUUCUCAACCAUUCACAUUGUUCAUUUUCAAUUAAAUACAAGUAUGACUUAUUAUUUAAUUGUAACAAAAGUAGUAUUUGAGGGUAAAACUUAUCAAUUUACUCAUAAUAUAUAUAUAUAUACUAGUUAUAAGAGUUUAACUAGGAAAAUAAGUAGACUUUAGUAUAAACUCUAACACUACUUAUCUAAUUAUAUUCUCAACAUUAAAAAAAAAAAAGGAAUUAAGCUUAUUUUUACUUAAAAGGCUUUUGGAAUCUCACCUCAAAACUGUUAACAAACGGCUUUUGAAGUCAAAAUGGAGAAUGUCCCUUAUCUUUGGACACAAGUCUCAUGAUUACUUUUCUAAGGAAGGAAAUAUAACUGAGGUAUAAUUCUCUGAGCAGAGCCUUGAAAGACUACCAAGUUUUAAAGACUUGAGUUGGGAGAAAACGAUGCCAUCCAUGACUUCAUCAGUGUAGAAAAGCUAUGAUUUCUUCGAACAUUUGACAAUCAGUAACACUCAUUCUUGUGAGUUACACCAUGCUUUUAGCUAUUGCGAAUGUUACUAAAUUUCUAAAUCCAUGGCAUUUUGAUGCCUCCAGAGUUGUCAAAUGUUUGAAUGACACAAAAGAUGGCACUAAAUUCUUUAAUUUGCCGCAUCCCAACACCAGUAGAAAACUUCUGCAAGUGAUAGUUUGUUCUUCUAGAGAUGUGUUAACUCAGGAAGAUAAUACAACAUUAAUUCCUUCAAGCAAGCAAGUGUCCCUGCAUGUUCGUUUUCAUCUCUUACUCCUUCAUAAUGAAGUAAUUCAUUGAAGGUAGUCCUUUUCCAAAAGAAAGGUAUUCAAGAUUUGGUAAUGAUUAAAUGAACCAAUCUGAUAUAGUAACUGUUGCAAAGUGGCCAUUCAUGCAGUGGCAAACUCUUCCCGUGAAGUUGCAAGCUCCCUUUAAACUGCGAGCUUAAGCAAGUCUAUGAGCUCUACAUUUGCGAUCUCACCUAAAACUGUGAGUUCAACCUAGUUGCGAGCUCAUAAUCCAUAAUCCAUAAUCCAUACAGACUUUGAGACCUUUCAAUCAAGAGAGGAGGUUUUCAAUGAUAUCAUGGAGUCACUGAAAGAUGCAACAACAAGCAUGAUUGGAGUGUACGGGAUGGCUGGUGUGGGCAAAACAUGGCUGGUCAAAGAAGUUGAGAGACAACUCCAUGAGGUUAAGUUAUUCAAUUCAGUAGUUAGAGCAACUGCAUCUCGAAUUCCUGACAUUAAGGAAAUCCAAGACCAAAUAGCAUACUCAUUGGGUUUGAAGCUUGAAGAAAACAGUCCGGUUGUAAGAGCCCGUAAAUUGUAUGGAAGGUUAAGGAAUGAGAAAAAUGUUCUUAUUAUUUUGGAUGAUCUUUGGAAGAAACUGGAUCUAAAGGAAGUCGGAAUUCCAUUUGGAAGUCAACACAAAGGAUGCAAAAUACUGUUGACCUCAAGAAGUCGAAAUGUUGUAAGCAAUGAGAUGGGUGCUACAAAGACCUUUGCAGUUGAUGAUUUAGAUGAGGAAGAAGCUUGGGAGUUCUUCAAGAAGAUGGCCGGGAACAGUGUUGAAAGUGAUGAGGAGCUGCGAUCUACAGCAAUUGAGGUAGUCAAGAAAUGUGCAAGAUUACCACUUGCCCUUGCAACAGUUGCAAGGCCGUUGCGAAAUGAAAGUUUAUUUGGUUGGAGGGAUGCUUUACAACAAUUACAGAGGCCUUGCUUGGAACAUAGCUCGAGUGAGAUAUCGGCUGAGGUACAUUCGAAUAUUAAGUUGAGUAUCAAUCAUUUAUCAAGUGAAGACCUCAAGCAGAUUUUCCUGCUUUGCAGUUUACUGCGUCGUGACACUAGGAUUGAAGACUUGUUGAGAUAUGCUCGUGGUUUGGGUCUAAUUAAAGGAGUCAACAGCAUGAAAGCAGAACGAGAUAGGCUGUUAAAAAUGAUGCGUACCCUCAAAGAAUCUUGUUUGUUGCGUGAUAGUAAAAGUACCAAUGAGGAGUACUUCGAUGUGCAUGAUCUUACUUAUAGUCUGGCCAAAUCAAUCGCUUCAAAGGACAAUCAAGUGCUUGCUUUAACAGAGGUAGAUAAGGAUGAGGAUGAGGAUGUUGUAGCAGAUUGGCCAAAUGGAGAGUCAAUGAAAGAGUGCAACAAGAUUAUUUUGCGGGAUCCUAGUAUCAACAAGCUUCCUGACCAGUUGAAUUGUCCGCAGCUUUUUCUCUUCCUUUUGUUUAGUAAGGAUCUCUCCUUGACGUUGCCGGAUAACUUCUUCAAGGAAGCAAAAAAUCUUAAAAGUCUUAGGUUUGACUUGCAUGCAUUUUUCUUCUUUACCUUCAUCAAUUGGUCUCCUAACUAGCCUCAGUACAUUGUGCCUAGAUCACUGCAAUUUGGGAGAUAACCUAACCAUUAUUGGAGCACUCAAGAACUUAAAUGUGCUUAGCCUUGCUGGAUCUGAUAUCAAAAUUGUACCCAAGGAAAUUGGGCAAUUGUUGAAGCUAAAGUUGUUAGAUGUGAGUGGUUGUACUAAACCCAAAACAAUUUCAGCUAACGUGUUGCCAAGUUUGUCAAAAUUAGAAGAAUUAUAUAUGGGUGGCACUUGUAUUCAAUGGGGACAACCCAAUGCUAGUCUUGCUGAACUGAACACACUGUCUCAUCUGUCCACUUUAGAAGUUGAAAUUCCGGACGCCAAGGCUGCCCCAGAGGACUUCUUUCAAAAGUUACAAAAGUUGGAAAGAUACAAGAUUUGCAUAGGAAAGGAAUGGGUGCGGUUUCGCAACUAUCAAUAUUCAAGAACCUUAAAACUCAGGCUAAACACAAGCAUUGAUGAUUUUGAUCAUGGAAUUAAGAAGUUGGUAAAGAGAACUAUAGAUUUACAAUUGGAUAAACUGAAAGGUGCGAAGAUUAAUGCACUGGAGGAGGUAACAGAUGAGGAAAGGCUAUCACAUUUGCAGAAUCUGCAUAUCCAAAAUGGUUUGGAUUUGAAUCUAUCAUUAAUGCUAGAAAUGAAUUUCCUCAUUUGCAGUCCUUGACAUUGGAGGGUCUUCCUCAACUCGUAAGCUUUUGCUGUCAAGACAAAAUCGAUGGUACCUCAUUGCCUCAACGUGAAUUGCCACUUUUCGGAGAAAAGGUAUGUAUAAUUCAAUAUCUUUCUAGUUUUUCUUUCAGGGCUUUCUUUCCUUUGCUGAAGCAUGCAAUAUUGCUCUUGUGGUGUUUUUUUUUUCUCGUUUUUCUGAUCAUAUUUUUUAUUUACUAGAAUUUUUCUACAAUACGACACUGUUUAUUGGUUGGCAGACACUAUUUUUGGUUUUUUUGAGUUAUUAGCUUUUUUGUAUUAUGUAUUCAAUAAGUAUGUUUUUUUUUAAAUAUUCUCAUAAAUAAAUUUUAGUUUUUUAGAAAAUAUAUGUCAUGUUUUGCAAUUGGAAGUAUAUCACCAUUAGAAAUUUCAAACGGAUAAUUUUUUAUUAUAUUUGGUAUUUGCAAAAAUAGAAUUAUAAAGUAAAUAUUUAUUUAGAAUUAUAUAUAUAUUUUACAAUAUUUAUUUAAAAGUAGAUUUAAUUAUGUGUUGUAGAUAUCGUUCCGUUCCUUGGAGAAAUUGUGGUUGUCAUCACUUAAUAUUACAAGAGUACGGCACAACCAGUUGUAAAAUGCAUCUUUUUGCACUCAUGAGAAGUUAACUACGUUGAAAAUCGAGGGUUGUGGAAACAUAAAAUACCUGUUAUCAUUUUCUAUGGCUAAAUAUCUAGUUCAUCUCAAAUACUUUGAAUGUUUUAAGGUGAAUUAAACUUAGGAAUGAAUUAAUGCAUAUUGUAUAAACGGAAUUCGAAUUCAAAGGUAUGCUAUCAGAAAUUUCCUGAAUAUUGACAAAUGAAUUUUCGUGCUUGUUUGUAAUAUUCCUUACCCCUCCGGCGACGGAUACGGGUUAGGAGUGUUACAUAUAUAAGGCCAAAAUCUCUUAAAAAAAACAUUUUCAACUCCCUUUCAAAAAAAAAACUCCCCUCCCCAUUUUCUCUCUGCAACCUAAUGGUCCGGCCAGGCUCCGUUCACCAACCACCGCCGCUCACCACCGGUAAAUUUUUUUGUAAUAUUUAUAAAUAUAUAAAAAAAUAAAGCUAAAAACGUAAUAGAAAAAAUAAAAAAGAAACUUUUAGCAAAUAUUGCUUUUGUUUUUCCGAUCUUCUGUAUAUUUCUGCUUAGUAUUUGUGUAUAUUCUUAAAAAAGAAAGGGCCUUUUUACAUUCGUUUUCUAAGGCUUUUAUAGCCUUUUUUACAACUGUUUUUCGACUAUUGAAGGUGGCGUGGUGGAUGCGGGCACUGACGUGGGCUUGCCUAGGGUUUUCUCCUUUUUGCUGAAAAAUUUUAAGUUCUUAGGCUGAAAAUUUGGACUAGGGUUUAGUUUUUGGGAUUGGGCUUGUUUGGGUUUAAUUUUUAGGGGUUUGGUUUUUUGUUUGUAUUUGGUUUUUUAUUGGUCUGGGCCACGAGUUGAAAUUGAGCCCUACAAUUAUGUCAUCUACAAUUCCAAUUGGGGAGAUGGCUAGUCUUGGCUAUCGAAGUAGUUAACUCCACGAGUAGAGACACAUAUGUAUUCAUUGGUAGAAUGAUACAUUGGACUAGACCCAAGAUGAAUUAAUUCUAAAUCCAGUUGUGAAUUAAUUAACUUAUGAUGUUCAUGGUGUGAUUUACCUAAAUUUGAGUUAGUCACUGAUCAGCCAUUUUUUUUUGUUGCCUCUUCAUAGCUUGCAGGCUCUAAUACGACAACAUUACAUCUUUCAUAUACCUUAGAUAUAGGUUUGGUGCCUUUGACUGGUAGAUCAUCAAAACAAUCAGCAUCUUGGUUUUGAACAUCACCAGUUCACACAUUCAGCUCAAUCUGACUUUGUUCAACCAUCUCAGCUUCUGUAGCUUCCCAAUUUCACAAAGCUUCCUCACUGAACACCUCUACGUUCAAACACUUUACUAGUGAAAGGAUUAAAAAUCCUAUACCCUUUCUUGCAAUUGUUGUAGCUAACAAAGAUACCUGGUUGAGCUCUUCUUUCCAGGUUAUUCCUUUUAAAAGCAGGAAUGAAAGUAUAGCACAAACAACCAAAAAUCUUCAGGUGUGACACUGAUGUCUUGAACCUAAACCAUUCUUCAAACGGUGUUAUACCCUUCACAGCUUUUGUUGGCGAUUUGUUGAGCAGAUAAAUGGAGGUGUUCACAGCUUUAGCCCACAACUGGUUUGGUAGCUUCUUCUAGAAUAAUAAACAUCUUGACAUAUCCAUAAUUGUUCUAUUUUUCCUUUCAUACACACCAUUUUGCUAAGGGGUGUAUGUGUUAGUCAACUGAUGUUUUAUCCCAGCAUAUUUGCAAAACUUCUGAAACUUUUCAAAAUUGUACUCAAUUCCAUUAUCAAACCUGAGUAUUCUCAGCUUGCAACAAGCUUGAUUCUCAACAGCGGAUUUAAACUUCCAAAAGACCUUAGCAACUUCAGACUUGGCCUUUAAAAAAUACACCCAACAAUAUCUAGUGUAAUUGUAACACCCCUUACCCGAGUCUGAUGCCGGGACAGGGUACGAGGCAUUACCAGACUUAAACAUAAGCAAUUACACACAACCAGGCCAUAAAGUUUUGUCCAAAUUAAAACCAUUAAUAUAUAUGCAUAUUGUCACUUAUACAGGCCUACGAGGCCCAAAACAUACAUAGGGAGUGGUUCAGGACUAAACCGAGAACUUUGGAAACUUUAGGGAAACUUAAAAAAAAUUCAUCAUGAAACAGGGCCACACGCCCGUGUGGGUAAGCCGUGUGGUCACACACGCCCGUAUGGCUUGGGACACACCGUGCCCCUUACCCGUGGAGCUCUCUGUUUAUGACGUCAUGUACAAAAUAAGGUUACACGGCCAAGGCGUACUUCCGUGUCCUUAGGCCGUGUGGCGUAUUAAAUUCUAAUAAUUAGGUGCAAACUUCACACGGCCAGAGCACACGCCUACGUCUCCAGGACGUGUCCCUCACGGCCAAGACACACGACCGUGUCUCAGCCCGUGUGGCCAAUUCGAAGCUAAAAUACAAGAUGUAGGGGACACAUGGCCGGACUACACACGGCCUAGACAUAUGCCCGUGUGUCUACCUGUGUGGACAACUUUGAGGCUAUUUUCCAAGCCAUUUGCCACCCUUAUUUGCUCAAACACGUUCAUAACUUCAAAGGCAUAUAUCAUAGCAUAUUUGAGUACUUAAACAUUAUUCAACAAGUCAUGAUCAUGACAAUAUCUUGUCAACUUAUACACACUCAAAACAUCAUACUUAGUCAAGCUCAAACUUACUAAUUCUCAUGCAUCAAGAUUUAUAGGUUUACUUCCAUGUUACACAUUUAGGCAUUAGUUGUCAUUAUAUCAUCACACCUCAAUUUAAACCAUCAGGCAUUCAUCACCAACAAUAUAACCCAUCACAUACAUACAAUCACAAGCCACAUCUCCAAGACAUAGGCACAUGCAUAAUCAUAUAAUCAACAUAAGCCAUCAUUCAUGGCUAUAUACAAAUUGGACCAUAACCAUUAUAGGCCAACACAUUUGACCAUAUUAGAAAUGACAUAAUUACAAAAGACAUAGCCCCUAUACAUGUCAUAAAUUCAAGUGCUUGAAUACUUAUACCCUAAAUGGUAGCUUGAUAGUGUGAUAACAUUUCCGACGAUCUCUAACCCGAGCUAGCUAAAUUAACCUAUAAAGAUGGGAAAAGGAAGGGGAGUAAGUUUCAAAGCUUAGUAAGUUCACAUGCAACUAAUAAAUAACUAUUGACACUCAUUUAUCUAUUUCCCCUCCCUAAGGAUAUUAUUACUGCAAUUUGCACUAAAUCUCAUGAUUACCACUUGUUUAUUCAUAAUGCUUACUCUUUUAUUUUACAAAUACUAAUUGCACGUCUUGGCAUUGGAUUGGUAAUCAUAACUUCCCCAUUAUAGUCUAUCACAUUAUUUAACAAGUUAUUUAUAUACAUCAUAUUAUGUCACAACCCAAAGUAAGCCUAACACAUGAUCAUUACCAAAUCUUAGUGUACAUCAUCUUAUUAUGAAUGUAGAUCAUUAAUCCCAAGGUUAUCAAUAUCUCACAAGCAAAACAUAUUCAUGUACAUUCUUACCAAAUAUUCAUUAUACAUUGAACUCACUACUCAUGAGUUUUGUCGUACAUACCUGUACCAUCUCGUAACAUAAUCACUUACUCAUCUUGUAACACCCAUUACCCAUACCCAAGACCGAGACAAGGCAUAGGGUAUUACCGUACACGAGCAAGAACUUUUCAGUGAAAACGGAUCAUAAAACUUCUUCCCAAUUUAAAAAUGAUUAAAUCAUAUUCAUAAUGUCCUUAAUAUGGGCCUACGAGGCCCAAAACAUGCAUUAGAUACGAUUCGAAACUAAACUGAGGACUUAAGAAAAGCUUAGAAAAUUUUAUGCCUUAAGGCUUCACACGUCCAUGUGGGCAUAGGGCACACGCCUGUAUGACUUGGGACACGCCCGUGUCCCUCACCCGUGGAGUUCUCUGUCCGAUUAUGCAUGAACAAAUGAAAUCACACAGCCAAGGCACACGCCCUUGUGCUUACCCGUGUGGUCGAUUUAUUUUUCAUAAUUUUUCAUAAAUCAAGUGCAGACUUCACAUGGCCUAGGCACACGCCCGUGUCCCUCGCAUAGCCAUGACACACCCGUGUCUCAGCCCGUGCUCAAAAACCUUGAUAUUCUGUUUCUGACGUCAUCAACCAAUUUGGAAGCACACGACCAAGGCACACGCCCGUGUGCUAGGCUGUGUCCUCCAUACGGUUGAGAUACACGGUCGUGUCUCUACCAGUGUGUUUACUACCAUCCAUACUUACUAGAAAUUUCAUGGUGUAGGGGACACACGACCAAAUAACACGCCCGUGGGGCUGUCCAUGUGUCACAUACGGCCUAGGCACACGCCCAUGUGGCUGGCCGUGUAGACAAAAAUAGGCUAUCUACCAAGCCUAUUUGUCACCCUUGCAUUUAACAACAUACAUAACAUUCAACUAUACCAAUAUCCCAAGCAAUAGGAGACCAAUCAACCACACAUAUAAUUAAAUGGCAACCCAACCAAGUGUUUAUACAAAUUAUUCAACCAAGAGUACAUCAUCUUUCAAUUCAUAACUCAAAAUGAAUAUUAGCAAUCAACCAUGGCCUUAUACAAAAUGAAUCAACAUAACAUUCAUGAGCCAUUACUUUGGCUAACCCAAUGACACAUAUAAAGCAAAAUAACCAAAAGUCCUAUACAUGCCAUUAUGACAAAAUAAGAGUUUUUAUAUACCCAAAAUGGAAUUAGGUUGAUAGUGUGAUCAAUACUCCAACCGACUUCCAAUCCUCAAGAGUCCACGAGUUCUGUAAAACAGGGAAAAAUGAAAGGGGGUAAGCGUUAAUGUGCUUAGUAAGUCCGGAUAACGGGAAGGUAAACUUACCGGUUAUUUAGCAUACAACCAUAUUUAACAUUCAAUCCAAACAAGUAUAGGAUCGUUUCCAUGCCACAUACACUCAACCAUCAAGUUAGUCUCAUGUCAAUAUAUGACAAUAACAUGUCUAUAUGAAUUCAUCAUUUCAAUAUUCCUAUUUCAUAUCUCAUAUUAGUCCCGUUGAAGUUCUCGGUAUCCCGAUGGAUAUCCCAUUUUCUGUCAAUUCUUACAAGUGAUCAUUUUAAGUACGGACUCCCACGAACUUCGUAUAUUACGGUGGGAUUACCAGUCCAGGCUAAAUCCCCUGCAACGACAUAAACUCUAGUGAGCUUGGAUCUGAAUUACCAGUCCAGGCUAAAUUCAGAUCCUAAUUGGAUUACCCGUCCGGGCUAAAUCCAUUAUGCACACAUAUUCUUCGGAAGGCUAGAUCCUUUUUACCAUCAAUUCAGUUUCGAGAAAAUCCAUCAGGUAACCCUUUUCAUUCAAUUGGGACAUUUUAUACGCAUUUUAUCCAUUUCAUCAAUUUUCAUGAAUUAUCAUGCAAUGAACAUCUAAAAUUUUCAUGCAAUCAAGAAUACAGAUUUUAAAUAUAUUAAAAGUAUUCUUUGAGUUACUCGAACUUACCUGGUAAUGGUCUCGAAUUCAAGUUUUGAUUAUUCCGAAACUUUUCGCUUUCCAUGAUCGACCUCAGGAAUUGGUCUUUCGGGGUCUAAAAUAGAAAAAUAAAUUUAUUAAUACAUCAUUUUAUCCCUUUUUGGCCUAAAACCCAUCCUAGGGCAAAAUGACCAAUUCGCCCUUAAAUCUGAGAUAGAUUGAAAACAGCCUUCGAUAGAUAGAAAUCAUACGCAGAGUUAAAUGUUAGGAAAUUGAGUUUGCUGUUGGUGACAAGGUGUUUUUAAAAGUAUCAUCAUGGAAGAAAAUUUUGAGAUUUGGCCGAAAAGGGAAGCUGUGUCCUCGUUUUUUUAGACCGUAUGAGAUCACUGAAAGAGUGGGACCAGUCGCUUAUCGUUUGACAUUACUUGCAAAAUUACAGAAAAUACAUGAUGUUUUCUAAGUUUCAAUGCUUAGAAGGUAUUGAUCGAAUCCAUCUCACAUUAUUUCAACGGAAGAAAUUGAAAUUCAACCUAACUUGUCUUAUGAAGAAGAACUAGUUUAAAUUUGGGCUUGCGAGAUGAAAGAGUUGCGUAAUAAGCAUGUUCUGUUUUUGAAAGUUCUAUAGUGUAGUCAUAGCAUCGAGGAAGCAACUUAGGAGCCAAAAAAGACGAUUUCGGGGACGAAAUUUAGUUAGGAGGAGAAUCGUAACAACCCAAUAGUCAGAGGUGUCAGAAAGUGAGGUUUGGGACUCCUUUUUUGUAAGACGAACUCUUAGAUAUAUUUAUUGAAUAUAUACGAGGUUAGUUUAUUAGUAAAUUAAAUUUUGGAUAAGUAAUUGCAGGAAAUUAGUAGUUAUUAAGGUAUAGGGACUAAAUCGUGAAAGGGUCAAAAGUUUAAUUAUAGCUUAAAAAUAAAUAAAUGGGUACUAAAGUAGUAAUUAUACCAUUAAUUAAAGGUUGGAUGGUGGUCGGCCAUAUAUUAAUAAAUAUGCAUAUGUAUAUUAUAUUUAUAUAUGUUAUAUAUAUUAAGAUGAUGAUGAUGAUGAUGAUAAUGAUGAUGAUGAUGAUGAUGAUGAUGAUAAUAAUAAUAAUAAUAAUGGUAGUAAACUAAAAUCACUUCUUUUAUUUCACAUGCAAACAAAUUAAAAAGAAAAGAAAGAAAUAGGGGAAGAAGCUUGGACGACACCUUAGGGGUUUUUAAGUUUUACAACUUCAAUUGGUUAGACUAUUUAGUCCAUUUAGUCCAUUUUCUUGUAAUUUUUAUAGUUUUGGAAUCCUGGUACUUAGAGCUACCCGACCCAUGUUAAGAUUUUUAGUAUUUUUCAAUAUUUUAGAUGUUGCCAUUGUUGAAUAGUUUAAGUAUUAGGGAUUAAAUAGAUAGAUUUUUAAGUUAGAAGUGGAAAAGGACUAAAUUGUGGAAUUAAUUGUUGAUUUUGAACAAUAGGGACUAAAUUGAGAAAAAAAAUUAAAAAUUAGGGGUGGAAUUGAAAAAUAAGGAGCUAAAUUUAGCUUAGAGUGGAAUUAGUAUAAAAUUUGAUGUUAAAUGUGGAGGCUAAAAUUAGUCUUGGUUUAGGGACUAAAUUGAAGUUUAGGCAAAUAUAGUGUAAAAAUUAAAAAUUUAAUGUGAAAUUUAAUUGUGUAAUAUUAAUGUAUUUUAAUUGUUUUAAUCCGUAGCUAAUGUCGUACCGAAAUCCUCAAAUAAAAAGGGGAAGGAUAAAAUUGACGUCGAAUAGUUCGGAAUUCACAGUUUGUGUUUCUAUAAUCCGAACUGUUAUAAAUUGUUACAUUUUGAGCUAUUAUGCAUGGUAAGACAUGAGGUAAGCAGUUUGUUAAAAUUGGGAUGAAACAAAUUGAAUUGAAUUGAUGAAUGUUUAUAAUGAUUUAAAUAUGUGCAUUGAGAAAUGUACGUAUCUGUAUAUAUAUGUUGAAUUGAAUAUAUAUUUUGAGAAUUGUAAUUGUUAAUGAAUUGAAUCACAUGCCUAUUGUAGCAGCCCAAAUUUGACCAGGCUGAAAACAAGAUAAAAGAAUUAAAUAAAUAAAUAUUUAUUUAUUUAAAAAGCCCAUUACAGUCCAGUUUACAAAAACCCAGUACCCGGUUAUAACCCAAUUAGACUAAACCUUUGGCCCAAAAUCUAUUAACCCGUUACACCCAAACCCAAACAAGACCUAACCUAAACGAGGCCCAAUGCCUAAACAGAAUCUGGAAACCCUAGGGUUUCCAGAAGCUUCGCGCCGUAAGCACCCCAUCAGUCACGCCUCUUCAACCUCGGUCGUUCCAUCUACCCUCAUCGACGCCAUGAUUCCAGGCCUCAAAUCUGGCCGUAGUUGAAGCCGAAUGAAUGCAGAUCAGCGCCAGCACCGUCGUCAUCAGGGCCUAAUCAUCCUGGCCCACUGAUUUCCUCGCUAGACACCUGCAAAAAAGGAAGAGAGAACCAACAACAACCAAGAAACUAAUUUGGAAAGAAAUCAAAUGAUUUCCUUUCCUAAAAUGUAGCAAAGGGUUAUAAAAACCCCUCUUUUUUCUAAUCUGUAACACACAUUUUUGAGAAAAAACACACAUAUAUAAUAAAACAUAGUGGUUUAUCGAAGAACAGAGGUAAUAUUGCUUUUAUUUUUUUUAAAUAACAUGCGAACAUCAUUCAAAUAGAUCAGGAUAGAUUUUACCGUUAAAAUCUCUUCGUGAUGUUGACACGUUUCGAACUCUGACCGCCGUACAUGGCGGUGUUGACGACUGCGCGUGGGCGCGUGGGCGCGUGGGCGCCCGAUGAUCGGAGCAUGGCCGGACAGAGGCCAGAGCCCGGAGGGCCUCUCAUCUCUCCUCUUUCAGAGGAUUUUAAAGUUUUUUUUUUAAAACGGUCUCUAAAAUGAUUUUUUGAAACAAAAAUUGAUUUAUAUAAGGCAAUAGAUACGGUGUCGUUUUGCUUAAGUCCAAUAAACACUGAAACGGCACCGUUUAGGCCAGGAUCCGCGCGUUGACCCGUCACCCGGGGAGGAUCUCGUGUUUUUGUAAAAUGGGAUAAUUUCCCAAUCAGUCCUUCUGCAUUUUUAAUUUUUAUAAUUUCAUUUUGUUUUCUUUUUAAUUCGACCAUAAUUUUUUAUAAUUGUUUCGAUUUAGUCCUGAUGGCUAUUAAACUCAUUCUGAGGAACGACGUCGUUUUGGGAUAAGGGUUAAUUUCCCGAUGAGUCCCUCGAUUCUAAUGCGUUUUUUCAAAUAGGCCUAAUUUUUUUUAUAUUUUUUUAAAUUAGCCCAAAAUUUUAACUGCUUUUAAUUUUAGUCCCAUUAUACUUAUAAACUUAUUUAUUUUAAGCUUUAUUAUUUAUUUGAUGUGUAUUAUUAUUUUAUAUUGUAUAUUAUUAUUAAACAUACUGGAAAUCCAUUUAUUUUAUUAAAUUAUAUAUUAUGGCAUACAUAUUAUUUAUAUUUUAUUAAUAAAUUUUUUUUAUAUAUGUAUUAUAAAUAUAAUAAAAUUAUUUUAUUAUGUAUUAUUAUAUUAUUUUAUAUGGUAUAUAUAUUAUUUAUAUUUUAUUAAUUCAGUAUUUUUAAAAAAAAUGAUAAUUAUAUAUAAAUAAUCAAAUUUUUUUAUGUUAUUAUAUUAUUAUAUGUUUCCUAUAAAUUUUAUAUACAUUAUAUUAUUCUAUUUUAUAUUUUAUCGUACAUUUAUAUUCUAAUACAUAUCAUCAUAUAUAGUUUUAAAAUUUUAUAAAUAAUUAUUAAACAUUAUUUUUAUAUAUUAUUACAUAUUUAAAAGUCAUUUAUUACUACAUUAUUUUAUUAUUUUUAUAUUUUAUGUGUUAUUUUAUUAAUAAGUAUUAUACUAUUUUUAUUAUUUGUUUUCAUAUCAUUUUGUUACUUAUUAUAUUUAUUUCUUAUAAUAUUUUUAAAUUGUAUACUGUAUACAUUUUAUUAUAUAUUUUUAUAUUAUUUAUUAUAUGAUUUAUAUUAUUUAAUUUAUAUUAUAUUUUACCAUAUUUCCUUAUUACCUUUAUUUUAUCAUAAAGUAUACAUUUUUACUUAUUAAUUAUAUACAUGUUUUUAAAGAAUAGCAACAUCUAGUACACUAUUUUUCUUAUAUACUAAGUUAUUAUAUCUAAUAAUAUAAUCUAUAUAUGUAUAUAUUCUUUUAAAAAGGUUCUCUUUUAUUGUUCUUACAUCAUUUAAUAUAUUUCUAAAUAGCUUACUUUUAUAUUUCAUACAUUUAAUUUGCUUAUUUAUUUUUAAAUUCUCUUUUAUUUUGAUAUAGUUUAAUAGGUUAAAUUUUACAUAUCAUUUUAUUCUUGUAUCUAUAUAUUCGCGUAAAAUUAGUUAUUUAUGAUUAUUUAGGUAUAUAUAUUUGCAUAAAAUGUUGUUAUAUAUAUGUUAUACUAUUAAAAUUAUUAUGCUCUAUGUUGUAUUGUACAUGUAAUACUAAUGUAUCAAUAUUUAUGCCAUUAUUUUAAGACAUUAUACUAUAUUUGCAUGAAAUGAUAAAGCAUGUACAUUGUAAUUAGAUUUAUUUAACUCUUUGUAAUAUGCAAAACACAUCAUUAUUUUUAAAACUAAAGUUAUAUCUCACUUAAUUCAAAAAAUGAAUUUUAAAAGUGAGGCAAUGUUUUGAUAUUUUAGAGAUCCGGGAAAUAGUGCCCUAACAUGCUGGGUUACGAUUUAUUGUUUGUCUAAAUAUCUAAAAUAUCCUUUUAAACAAAUUUUAUAAAUCACGAGAUGAUUUCAGUUAUGAGUGUUUAAGAACAUCGUGUCCUAUCAUGUUGGAUGUGGUGUUUGUAUUCUUUUGGAGCUAAGGAAUCUCGAUUUUUCGACUUAAAUAAUUUCGGUUUUUAAAAAAGGAAUCUUAUUUUUAAAUCCUUUCAAAUUUUUGACAUUAAGACAGAAAUCUAAUCAAUUUGGUACCAAUUUUGGGCGUUGCGAGGGUGCUAAUCCUUACUCGUACGUAACCGACUCCCGAACCUGUUUUCUUAACUUUCGUAGACCAAAACGUUUUAUAAGGUGAUCCAAUCACACCUAAAAAGGUUGGUGGCGACUCCCAUUUUUGUUUUUCAAAAGUCGAUCCCCGUUUUUCAAACAUCCCUUUAAAAAAUGGUUUCGACAGCUUGGCGACUCCACUGGGGACUUAAGAGAGUCAAGCCAAGAAAUUGAGUAUUUUUGUCUUAAUGUCAGAAGUUUGGAACACUUAAAUCUUUUUACAUGUGUUUGAUGCAUAUGUUUGUUACUUUAUUGCUAUACAUUGCAUUUGCACGACCGUUGUGGUCAUACCCUUAAGUGGGAGUGAGAAGCUACGCUUUCGUAAGGUUUUCACCUUCGUAUGAGCUAGUGGAUUGUUUCCGGGAUACUCUACCUAUGUCUUCGUGAGAUUUUCAUCUCCGCAUGGCCAUAGGGAAAAGUGUCCCCCUGAACUGAACUUGGUCUAUAUGAACUUAUAGUGGGUGAGGACCGAAGAAUCUGCUGGUUCAGGUACCUUGCUUUAGAACUAAAACUCAUGUAGUGAACUUUUAAGUACUUAUCCUAGGAAUAAUAGUGAUAACCUUUAGAAAAUUACCCUUAUAAAUAUUUGUUUAUCUUUUUAUAUAUUGAUACUGACUUAUUGUUUUUUUUUAUUUUGCUGUCAUUGCAUGUCAUUUCGUAUUUAAAAGUGUCGAUUCACGGCUCGAUUUCUAAAUUAGAAAGUUCUGUAAUGAGGAAUGAAUAACUUAAUAAAGUGGAGGACAAUGCUUCUGUCUGUACCUGGUCAGAGAAAGCCCAGUUAGAGAAGGGAGAUAGUGUCACUAAGGGGUAUACGUUAGAGUUACGGGACUUCACUAGUGUUAAUUCGACGCAGAAUGAGUUGCAGGAGCUGAAAAACAUUUGGGCCCAGUGGGAUGAUGAUGCUAAGCAGCUUUUCUAUCAGAGUUAUGGAGAUCUUCCAUAUUUGCUACACGUCAAGGUAGAUAGACACUUGUUUCGAGCUAUGGUACAGUUCUGGAACCCUGCUUAUAGUUGUUUUACAUUUGGUGAUGUUGAUCUUGUACCUACUUUAGAGGAGUAUACGACUUUACUGCGUUGUUCAAUAAUUCAUGGUUACAAGGCUUAUGUUAGGCCUGCUAGCCUUCCAACUUUUGCGAAGAAAUUGAUGAUGAUUACUGGGAUGAGUGAGCAGUGGGCUGUAGCUCGUGUGCAGCAAAAGGGUGAUAGUAAGUGUAUUCCAUAUGCCGUUUUGAGGGAUUUGAUAUUGACGCAUCCAAAUGUGAAGAAAAAGGUCGACGUCCUGGCUUUGAGCAUUUACGGCACGGUGAUCUUCCCGAAGGCAUUGGGGCACAUAGAUGAGUCGGUCGCAGAUUUGUUUGAUCGACUUAGUAAACAGAACACGCAUGUGCCUGCGAUCCUAGCUGAGACGAUAAGAUCCUUGUGACAAACUUUCGAAUGUUUUACCAUUUGAUAUGGUGGAAAGACUUGAAAAACUAGAAACUCUGCAAAUAUUGGAAUGCGAAUCGGUAGAAGAAAUAAUUGGACUUGUUGACGAUCAUGGACUCAACUCAAAUGAAUCGAUUAAGCUCAAAAGGGUUUCUACUCCAAGGUGCAUACUACAGAUUAGCUAUUGUUAAAAUUAUUGGAGGUGAGUGAAUGCAGCAAGGUGGAGACAUUUGCUGGGGAGUAUAUCAACUUUAGAGAAACACAAGGAGAGAACCAAACCAUUAUCUCUGUUCCACAACCCCUAUUUUGGGUUACUAAGGUAAGAUCUCAUAAAAGAAACUAAAUAAAAGGUCAAUCUAAACAGAGUUGCAUAUUUUAUCAUUCUCUUUAGAAGAUUUGCUUUUAUUUAACAUAUAUAUGUUUUUUAAUUUCUCAGGAAACAUUCCCCAAUUUAGAAGAAUUGGUUUUGGAUGGGAAUGGCAAUAUGAAAGUAUGGCAUGGACAUGGAGCAGACCCCAAGCAAUAUUGUCCCAAACUAAGAGAGUUAUAUUGUCCCGAAACAUGAGUUACUAUCUCAGAUUGUUUCAUUUAGUCAUUACAAAAUCUUGAAUACCUUUCUUUUGGCAAACGGCAACCUUCAAUGAAUUAUUUCCAUGUAAAGGUGUAAGAGACGAAAACGAAAAUGCAGGAACGCUUGCUUUCUUGAAGGAAUUAAGUUUGUAUUAUCUUCUUGAGUUAACACAUCUCUAGAAAAACAAACUAUCACUUGCAGAAGUUUUCUACAAGUGUUGGGAUGCGGAAAAUUAAAGAAUUUAGUGCCAUCUUUUGUGUCAUUCAAACAUUUGACAACUCUAGAGGUAUCAAAAUGCCAUGGAUUCAGAAAUUUAGUAACAUUCACAAUAGCUAAAAGCAUGGUACAAUAAAAGCAAAUUGGUUCAAUUUUUACACGAUAAUUUAAAUUCUAAAAAUAGAGUUUAAAAUCCUUAAAAAUGAUCUUGUGAAUAAAUAUUUAAUCCUAAUGAAAUUCCAUCCAACUUUCAUCUUGUGCAUUUAAUCAUAGUCGAUGAAUAGUUGAUGUAAGAGGAUUGCACUAUUCAUUCUAUUCAACAUAAAUGAGAGCAUUUAUUCUUGAGAUGUUCAUUCAUUUGAAUCAUUCUCAGCAUCAAGAGCUUUUGGAUUCUCAUGAUUAGAGAAAUUUGUUGGUAAUGCAAAGAAAUUGAAAAAAAAAAUAUUUUUAAAUGGUUACGAUUUGAUAAAAUCAAAAUCUAGCUUCUAAAUGGUUACGAUUUAAUAGAAUCAGAAUCUGACUGUUGAGACUUUUUAAGAAAUUGACUCUGCAAAUUUACCAUUUUGCGUCUUCAAAAAACAAUAUAAAUAGGAGGUCAUUUUCUUCGUUUUUCAUAGAACACAGCAAGAGAAAAACAACUUCUCUCAAUUUUCUAUUAUCUAAAUUCUAUUUUGCGAAAUUACACGAGAGGGAAAUUCUGUCUAGGAGAUUGGGUUUUAAGCGGGACCGUCUGUGACCCCUCCAAUCUUUCUUAAGAAUUGAACCUAGUGUGAUUUCAUUGAUUUUCUUCCAGUUUAUUUUUCGAUCAGAUUCGACCAAUUGCUUUUGUUUUUUCGAUUUCGAUUCCUUUCGAUAAGCGCAAUACUAAUUGUGUUUCACCUUCUUUAUUCAGGUGUACGAAUAUUAAAAUACUGUGUUAACCUUGGGGGGCGACGUCCACUACACAAUUACACCGAUCAAGGUGAAUUCGCUUCUAAGGCAAUGGUUCUUCCACGACACAAUGAUUGUUUUAUUUAUUUAGACUUAGUAUGGUUUCCUAUCAACACUAACAAUUUUGUUUUACAGUAGUAUAUUUCCAACAAUUAGAAGUAAAUUAUACUACUGUUUAAACAUGAGAAUCAUUUCCAUUUCCCGCUAUUGGAACCAAUGAAGGCUCCUACAGGCAACGAGGUAGAGUACACUUGAGGAUAGUUAGAGCAAGUGAAGUGUCCUAUUAAGGCAAUCGGUUUGAGGGCACCUGAGUAGUGCAAGACUGUGCCUAAGUAAUGUUGGAGCAGUUGCAAGCUCUAUUUGUGUUGGCUAAUGGGUCAUUACGAUCAAGAUGGGUUUGGAAGGCCUAGCAAGAUUGAGUGGGUCUGAGGACCCUUGAGUUUGAGAUGGGUUAGAGGUCUCUUGAGUUUGAGUUAGUUGGAGGACCUUUGAAUUUGAGUUGGUCGGAGGACUAUGAGCGGAUCGCUUGAUCAUUGUAUUUGGGAUAGGGCUUACAAUCAGGGGCGAAGCUAGAACAAAUUUUUACGGGGUCGGAUAAAAUUUUAAUUUUUUAUAGUUUAUAUCUUUAUAAUUUGUAAAGGAUUAAAUUAAAUUUUUAUAAUUUUAGGAGGGCCAAAAUGCAAUUUUACCUUUACUAAUUUAAAUUUUUUAAAAAAUUUUAAUAGCCCAAAGAGUAAAUUUACAUUUUAGGGGGGUCGGGGCCCAUGCUAGCCCCCUGGCUUCGCCCCUGCUUACAAUGCCCUUAUCCAUGAUAAGCUACUAAUACAUGAGAUUUGUGGAGCUAGUCCAAGCGUCACCGAGUUUUUAACCAAAGUAGACUGGAGGAUUAUCGAGUCCAAGAGCUUGAAAAAGAGAACUAGUGGGGGAUGUCUUAUUUAGGCAACUUAUGAGAUUGUGCGGAGAAAGGAGUGACGUGCCAGAGUUUGUGUGAAUGAGCAUUAAAGUCUGAAAUUGAGAUUGAGAUCAACCUAGUUCGGUGGUGCUGCAUGUGUUGCGGUUGGCCAAGAUGGUCACACCAAUUGGGUGACCAUGGAGGCGCUGAGAGGGCCUAAGUUGAGGAUGGCCAAUGUGUCAAAAUUUCCCAUGUUAAGAACUUUUGUGUUGGUGUCGCACAUAAACCACAACCAGAGGGAUGUGUUUUUUAGUAUCAAAGACAUGGUAAUAUUCAAUUGACAAAGGGUCAUACCAUUAAGGGUUCCUCAAGGUUGUAACCUAAUGAUUAUGUGUUGUGACAUUGAGUUCGAGUGUUUGGUAGAGGAAUGGGCAUAAACAAGACUAUACCAACGAUUGAGAAUAGACCAAGUUCGAGUCUAUGCUUGAUGCGCGUUGAAUGAAUCAUAACCAUAGACCUUGAAGGCCCAAGAUGGACUUGAGACUGAAAUGUCAACUCAAUGCAACAAUGUUACUAAAAGUGUGGUUUCAUGUUGAUGAGGACAUUGACAUAGUAAGUGGGGGAGUGUGGUCGGCAAUUUACUAUGCUAGUUAUCAAGGUUGAGCUUUCCCAAAACGAUCUUGAGUGAAAUUAAAGUACAAUAACUUGGAAGUUGGAAAUUGUCGAAUACCCUAUAGUCUUGAGAGAUGUUGUGAUGCAAACUGGGUAACUGAUAAAAUUAGCUUUACAAGUGGGUAUGUCAUUACUUUGGAUGGAGCAGCUAUUUUUUGGAAGUCUACUAAACAGACGUGUAUUGCUCGUUCCACAAUAGAAUCAGAGUUUAUAACUCUUGACUAAGCCGAGAAAGAGGCCGAGUGGCUUAGGAAUCUACUUGCAGAGAUUUCUUCAUGGGAGAAUAGAGUACUUGCUUUAGAGUACAUGAGGUCUAAAAGGUGUUCCACCUUCUUUAUUUGGGUGUAUGAAUAUUAAAGUAUUAUGUUAACCUUGGGGGCCGACGUCCACUACACAUGAUUACACCGACCAGGGUGAAUUUACUUCUAAGACAGUGAUUUUAUUAUUUUAAAUAUAUUUGGACGUUUUCUUCGGAGAAAUUCAAUAAUUAUAAUGAAAUUUUAAAUAUAUUUUAAUAAGAUAAAAUUAAUUGGUCAAUCAAUCUUAAAAAAAAUAAUUAGUCAAUCACUUAUAUCUUUAAAUAUAUUCUAAUGAAAUAAUAGAAAGAUAUUUUAAUCAAUCACUACUAUUCAUUUUGGAGUUACAUAGAUAUAAAUAUAUUGAUGAAUUUUUUCCCAAUUUUCUCAACUUUCCUUGGUAUUCAUCAUUUAUCUAUUUAUUUUAUUUAGUUAUUAAAUCAUUCAUGGUUAUAAUUUAAUUUUUAAAACUUUAAUCUAAUGGCUCAUAUUUUUCUCAUUAAAAUAUCUUUCUUUUUUAAUUAUAAAAUUCAAAAUAUUCUUUAAUAGAGAAAUGAUAAAAGUACCAUUUAAAAUGUAAUAAUUACUUAUGGAUAUAUUAUUUCUUCAUGGUUUAGUAUCUUACCAUACCAAUACAAGUACUAAACUUAAUAUUAACAAAUUUUGUAUAAUUAUCAUUACACUUAAUUAUGAAGAAAUCUUAAUUUUUAUAUAAAAAAAUAUUAUUCAACAUGUGUUUAAUCAUUGAAUUUGUAACUUCAAUGAUAGGUUGACAAAAUGGCAAAAUGAUAAGUUGACAUUUAGAAACUAAAUUGAAUGGUGAAUAAUGGAGUAACUUACAUGAAAGGAUCAUGAGACAAACAAUUAAUGGUAGGAGUAUGUUACAAAUGCUUUUAAUGGCUAAAUUAUGCACUUGAUUUAUUUAUACAUUGUUUUUAAAUUAUGUUAUCAUCAUUAAACUCUUUUGCUUAUCAUACAUAUUUAUUUGUUUCUGUGCGUAUAUUUGAGAAAAUCAACAGCAUCCAUGUUUCAAUUUUCAGCACAACAAAUAUGGUAUAAUCCUUUUGAUGCUAUAGUAAAGGUGGCAUGUACCUAAUGCCAAAACUUGUUUUUGGAGUUAAUUAUGGUACCUUGGUAUCUUCUAUGCUUGAAUUUUGUAAUGUAAGCAUGUUCUAUAGGCAUAUAAGCAUUUGAUGAUAUGAUUAAGUGAUUAUGUUGAUAUGCAUGAUCUCAAGUUAAUGAUUUUGCUAUGUUUCAUUGGUUGCAUUCAUUCCUUGUAGGUGAAAUUGAUAUCUGAAAUUGGAAAUAUUGUGACCAUGAUAAUAACCAUGUGUCUGAAUAUGUUUAAAUAGAAAAAUAUGAGGUUUAAACAAGAAUUUGGUGUUCAACAAUACUCAUAGUUGAAAUGGUACUGUUUUGAGCCAAAUUAGAUAUGUUUUGAGGUCAGUUUUUGGUCCUAACAAACUUGUACCGGUACAAGUAGCUAGAUGGAUCGGAAUAAAUAAGUUAAUAGCUAAAAAUGAACAAUUGCAGGGACUUCUAAGUCCAAACUUCUAUGGAUACAAGUGUGGGAGAACAAGGUCCCUCCCAUGUUUUGACUUGUUUUGACCCUCGAAGACUCGAACUUGGUCCUUAUCAUCUCCAAAUACCUAGAACUCAAUUAAAAAUGUUUCUAAUAUAUUUAAAAUGACUUGAACUUGUUUUUAAUUAAUAUGAAUGGUUUGUAUAAUGUGAUGAAUCCUUGAUGCUUAUGUUGUUUUUUAAAGAGAAGCUAGUUCAAGUUACUUUGGCAACAAAUGUGAUGUCAUACAUUCGGACCUGACGAUCACGUCAAAUGUGGAGUGUCACAUAUACACUUUAGUUUUUAACAUAAUUUGGUUCCUUUAUGCUAUCAUGUUAUUAGUCUAAAUAGUUAAUAUUGUUAACUAUGUCAAUCAAAACAUUGAUGUCAAUUUAUGUUAAAAACACUAUUCAAGCAGAAAAAAAUUAUCAUGACAAAUUCAAACGUAUGUUUUUAAGAUAAAUCCAAGUGAAUUUUUUUAUACGAUGUAUUAGGUAUAUUAGGUAUAGGAGAAGCUGAAAACAAAAUAAGGUUUAAACUUCAAAAGAUAUUUAUACGAUCCUUAAUAUAAAUGUUAUACUUCUACUACUCAAAAUUUCCUAAAUCACCACAAUGUGGAUGAAAAAAAUAUUAUAUGUUAAAAAUAUUUCUAAAAAAUAUUAUUUAAUAAUAAAUAUAAAUAGAGUGACAUCCAUUAAGAGGGUGACGUAGCAUAUUAAUUUAAAGGGUUAAUAACCAAUUUAGUCCCUAAACUAUAACUAAAAUAUCAAUUUUAAAAUUUUAAAAUUCUUCUUAAUAAUAAUUUUAAAAAAUUUAAAGGGUAAACUACUUGGAUAGUCAUCCAAGUUUUAGUGCGUUCCUAUUUUGGUCAGCGAAUAUUUUUUUGUUAAUUUAGUCACAUCGUUAGAUUAAUUGUCAUGUUUAGUCACUCCACCAUUAAAAUGCCUCGGCCACUAAACAAAAUGUUGAUAUGACAAUCUUUUGAUUGGUAUAAAAACAAACUUAGCCCUUAACACUUUACACAUUUUAUUUGUUUGUUUGUAAUUCUAAAAAUUCACCAAAUUUAACACUCAAUAUUGCACAUUUUGUCAAUUUAGUCCAAAUUCAAAAAAUAUAUAGUUUUAAAAACUUGAAAAUAUAUAAAAUUUAUUAUAAAAUGACAAAAAAUAUGAAUUACUAAAAAUGUAUAUAACAUAAAGGCUUAAAUAUGAAUUUGGUUGAGGGAUUCAAACAAAUGUUUCUUGAAUUGUAACAAAAAUUUGUAGGGAUUCAACAAAAUUUAACCCUCAAUUUCUCUUGAAUUUUUUGAAUAAAUAUUUAUUUUAAUUCUUUAAACUCCACCGAGCUAAACGAGUCCUUUGAGUUAAUUUUUUUAAUCAAUCACUAUCAAAUUCUACUAGCACAUGAUCAAAUAGUUGUUUGAGGGAUUCAAAUUAGAAAGCCUUUACUUAUAGAAACAUCUUUGGCUCUAUUUUGGCAGUAAAAUACAGGGCUUUAAAGGAUUCAAAUUCUUAAGGCUAAGGAAUGCUUCAUUGAUAAGUUUUCCCUAUUAAAAGAAAAUGCGAAAUAGAGUUUAGGUAUGUCUGUAAAAAAAAAAAAGAAAUUGACUUUGGGUGUGGGUGUGGGUUUAAUGGUGAGUGCUCGACAAUGAAGUGAUGGUGUAGUUUGGGUCUAGUAAAGUUGGGUAUCAAGUUGGUAUGAUAUUUGAGAUUGUGAGGUUUGGGCAGGAGAAUAAGAACAAUAGGAGGCUUGAAGAUGAAUUGGGAAGGAGAUGAGGGGAUGAAUGUUGUUUUACAAAGUUUAUCUCUUUUGUUUGGUUGACUAAAAGAAUCUAGUAACAAGAAAAAAAAUUAAACUUUUUUUACAUGAAAGCGAGUGGGGCAACAAUGUAACUUCCAGCACAAAUCUUUAAUGUGUCGAGGCUUACUACAGUAGUCACAUAUCAAUUGAUCCUUGUCAAACUUACCAUCCGAUGGACUAUCCUGGUUAGCAAUGAGACCAUCUUUCUCAAUAGGUGGAUUAUAGAGCAUAACAACAUAUUAACAAUAUGAAAGGCUGAAGCUGUGUGAGGGUGGGACACACGGUCGUAUGGGCAGACCGUGCAAUAGAUUGAGACCGUGUGGAGUUGGAGUCAUAUGGUCGUGCAAACAAACCGUGUAACCCACUAAGUCCGUGUAGGUCAAAAGUGUAAUUAUUUAAAAGUUGUCGCACAACCAUGUUGUCAGGUUGUGUAACAGGCUGUGGUCGUGUCUUGGAACCGUGUGUGGCAUAUGGCCUGUGGCACCAAAACUAACCUAUAAGUCUCAAAACUCACCUAAACCAAGUUCUAUACAUAAGCAUGUUUUAAAGCAUAACAAUGUUAGGAAAUGUGCCCAUAUUGUAGUAAACAUGUAACUAUUUUCUAUUUAUUUGAAAGAUGAAUAAAUAAAUAAGUUAAUUUCACAUUUCACUAUUAUGUCUUUUGUAUUUUCUGUCUUUUAUAUUUUGCAUGCAUAGAGAAAUUGUGACAAGCAAAUAUUAGCUCAUUGAUUGUCUAAAGUUCAAACUGAAGAUAAGUGGCAUUGUAAAGAACGUUUACAUUGCGAGAAAGACAACUUACUUCAGUAGAUAAUCUAAAUGAGUCCGCAAUCCUGUAAAAGAAUCAAAGUGAGCAUUUGAUUCAAAUAUUGAGAAAGAUUAUUAUUUUCGAAACCAUUUUUAGUUUGAAAAACAGGGAUCGACUUUUAAAAAAGAAAGUUUGGAGUCACCACCAAUCCUUUUUGUUUAGCUGUGAUCGGGUCACCUUGUGAUCGAUCAUUUUAAUAAAGCAUUUUGGUUUAUUAAAACAACGCUUUUGGUCUACGAAAAACUAGAAAACGGAUUCGGGAGUCGGUUACGCGCGAGGAAGGAUUAGCACCCUCGCAACGCCCAAAAUUGGUACCGUAUUAAUCAAUUAACGUCCUAAUGUUGAAAAUUUGGAAAAAGAUUUUAAAACGCAAUUCCUUUAAAAACGUUUAGAUAUCUUGAAUUGGAUAUUGAGAUUCUCUCGCUCAGAAUGAAUAAAAUAUCAUAUCCAGCACGGUAGGAUACAACACUUCGAACCCUCGAUACAAGAUCAUCUCAUGAUUUCCAAAACUCAUGCAUUUGAAAUUUCAAAAGGAUAUUUGGCUAUUUGGUUAAACGGUAAAUUGAAACCCAGCACGAUUGGGCACGAUCUCCCGAAUUUCUCAAACACAAAAUAUUGCCUUUAAUUUAAGAAAACAUGGAUGAAAUUUCAAAAGGAUAUUCAGUUAUUCGGUUGAACGAAAAAUCGAAACCUAGUACGUUAGGGCAUGAUUUCUCGAACUCCCAAACACGAAAUAUUUUCUUAUGUUGAGGGGUUUUUUUUGAAAUGCGAGUGGUUAUAAAAUGAAUGAAAAUAAAAUAAUUAAUGCAUAGAAUAUAAGGUUUAUCAUAUAAAUGAGUUUUUAAAAAAAUAUUAUAAGCUGAAAUUUAAAAUUAAUGCUAUACAAAACAAUUUAAAACCAAAAUAAAUACAAAUAUAAUGUCAAUUAUGUACAUAAAAACAAUGAUGUAUGCCCAUGCCGAAUCUUAAGCAAAUAAUGUACAUGAAGUAAAAAACUU